rnacentral:lncRNA from 1 species
GAUCUAGAAGACCUUAAUGUUGUUGAAUCUAAGGCUGCGUAUAGUUGGAAAACUAAAUUUUGGAGAACAACUUUAGUUGUUCUCGAGAACAGAGGAUAUUUCAGUACAAGAUAGAACAAUUGUAAAUUUAUAUUAGAUACAUUCGGGAAUAUUCUAGAGAAUAUUUUUAGCAUCGUUUGGAUAAAACGUAUAGAACAAUGUCUAAAUAUAUUUUUAAAAAUAAAAUAAUCAAUUUAUAUUAGUAUAUUUUAUAUAAAAUUAUUUAUAAAAUUAUUUUUUAUAGUAAUUUAUAAUAUAAUAUUUUACGUAACAAUUUAAUUUAAAAUAGUAUAUUUAUUUUACUAUAUAUAAUAAUAAUUUAUUUUAUAUAAUUUAUUCAUAAUAUAUGUAACGAUAUCUUCUAUAAUUUAAUUAAUAAUAUUAUAAAUUUCAAUACAAAUUAAAAAAAUAUAUAUAAUGCAUGAAAAAAUAAUUUUAUAUAUAUAUAUAAUACUUAAUAUAAAAUAAAAUAAUUAAAUAUUAAUAUAUAAAUAAUAAAACUUAAUAAAAUAAAUAAUAUAUCAAAUUUACUUCAUUUAUAUUAUAUAAUAAAAUUUAAGUCUAAAUAUAUUAUCAUAAAAAUAAUAUUUAUAUUAAUAUAUCUAUUUAUAUAUCUAUUUAUCUAAUAAAAUAAAGAGAAUAACAAAGUUGUUCUCCGUUCUCCUAGGAACAAUUCCUAACGGGACAACCCGCUUUGACCGGAACAAUCCGUUCCCUUCUGUUCUUCUGUUGUUUGGUUACAACUCGGGGGAUAUCCCGUGUUGCUCCGGGAUAUCCCCAGUACCAAACACAGCCUAGAGAUUGAUGAAGAGAGAAUACCAGAUUCUCUCUCCAUUUUUUUUUUCGGAUAAACUUUAAAUACCACUCAUGCGGUUUGGCACUUUCUCAGUACUUUAGUACUUUGUGGUUUAAAGUGUAUUGAUUUAUUGUCAUGUGGUUUCAUUUUUCUCUUUUCGUCAGCUUCUCUGUUAAUAUUUCAUUGAAUUAAAUACAAAAAAUCUUAGAUAUUCCAUAUAGAUUUAUCGAAUAUUCACUUUAGUAUUAUUUAGUUUUAACUUUCUCACUGAUUUAAGUGAAAAAAUUAGUAGAAUUGGUAAUAAAAAGAGAAAAAUAAAAUCACAGGGUACUAAAUUGAUACACUUUAAAUUAUAAAAUACUAAAGUGAGAAAGUGUGAAACCACAGAGNUUUUUUUUUUCUUCUUCUUCUAAUGAGUAGAAAUACUCGGCCUUCCUUUCCCGCUAAAUAAAACUACUUUCCCAGUUAAGAUAUUAUUGCACUUGAUGAAAAAUAAUUGUAUAGUGUAGCAUUUGAAAAAAAAAAAAAAAAAUCCUUAGGCGAAAAAAAUGGAUCUGCAUAUACUAGCAUCAAUUUAGUGAAAGAUCAGGUUGGAGAGAAGCCAUGUGAUCUUUAAAAACCAUUACUCUGACUUAUUGGCUAUUAUUAUUCGAAAAAUCACCAGAAUAGUGAAAUUAUGGGAGGAAUUUUGUUUGUGCUAAUGACGUCCCUUUUGUUGUAGAUGUUUGUGUUGUAUGGUUUUUUUUUUUUCAUCUUUCUUUCUCUAUCUUUCUCUACUUUCUUUUUUUUUGCUUCUCUUGUUUUUUUUUUUUUUUUUUUUGCUGCUCUCACAAAGGAUUAAUUGCCUCACCUUUAUAACUAAGUUUUUUUUUUUAAUAAAUAAAGUAAAUAGUUUGCCAUCCUUCUGUUUAAAAAAGACGUCCAAUCGAUAUAAAAAUGCUGAAUAGAUCAAUAAAUGGAUAACUCUAUCCCUGUAAAGGAAUGGGACCAUAUACUCAUAAUUUAAUAUGGGAGAGAGAGAUCAAAUUCUACUUUACUGAAAAAUAGUCUAAUCAAUCAUUUACCAAAAUUAGUGUGUUGCAUAUGAUAAGCGGUUGAUUAAACUGUCUUCUCGCUGUAAGACUUCUAAUGUAAUUACUUUUAAUCAAUAGAGCACUUUAUACUAUAAAAAUAAUGAAAAUAAAAUUAUUGUAAUAGUUGAAAAAUAAAUGAUACUUGCAAAUUCUAAAAGAAGGUAUAUAUCUUAUAUUUUACAGUCCAAAAAUUAAAAUAUAUCUCGUGGGUUUUAAUAUUAAGACUAGCGAGGUAAAACAGAUCAACGGAUUGACAAAACGUAAGAUUUAUAUCUACUUAAAGCAUAAAUAUGAUACCAUAGUACUGCAUUAAAACAUAUGCAGAAUUUGAAGUAGUCUCACAUUAACUACAUAGAUAGAUCUAGCAACCAACUAUUCAAAAUUUUUUUGAUAGAAGAAGCUUACUUAGAGGCCUUCAGUAAAGGCAACACCCGUCCCCGGCAACCAAGACCCACCUUGUAUCAGCGCGGCCACCGUAAAGGCCUUCGCCACGUUCGGAUCGGUGAUCACGUGAUACCCUGGCCAUUGCACCCGCCCGGCGGUCCCUGCCCCAGGCCCGCGGUUCUGAUACUCCCCGUAGAACAGGGUCUUCAAUGCGAAGUCGCCAUCCCACUCCAACCACCCUUGCGGGGCGAUGUGAUCGUCGAUAAACGACUGCAUGAACACCGUCUUCGAAUACGCCAUCCACGGCCGGCCGAGGUACGACGGAAUGGCCUUCUUGACGGGCGAAAGGUCCGGCCCGGGCAACACCUGGCAGUUCUGGAUGGAGGUGGCGGUGUCCUGGUUCGGGUCCUCGCGGCCUUGGGCGGUGAUCGUGUUUUCUUGGUUCGGUAACGGCUCACGCGCGAUGAUCUGACAAUUCUGGAUCACUACGGCGGCGUUGCCGAAGAUGAAGUCAAUUGUGCCGGAUAUGUGGCUGUCGCGGUAGAACUGGCGGAGGGAGUGAGCAAAGAGGGUGUCUUGAUAGCCGUCGACGCUGCAGCGAUUGAUAACAGCCUCAUCGGCGCUAACGCGGAGGGCCACUGCCUGCUGCUUCUGCGGCCCGGCCGUGUUCUCGAUCUUGAGGUCUUGGAGAAUGAGUCCGUCGCCUACAGCAGCUGAACAAUAGUUCUAAUGUCAACCAACUGCGUUAAACAGUGGUAGUAGUUUAGUAAAAAUAUAACAGUUUAAGUUGGUCUCUAUGUCUUUACCUAAUGUGGCGGAGUUGAAGAUGGUGGAGCCGUCGACGGCGUUGCGGCUCCCGGUGAUCACCGUCGCGCUCAUGCCGUCGCCGACGAUCAUCACGUUUUUCUUCGUCUUUCCUAUAUUGACGUUCUCCAUGUACACUCCCUUCUUUACGUAGAUCACGUACCUUGCGCUUUUCCCGCCGUCCGGUGCAGCAUCCACCGCCUCCUGCACCGUCGCGAACUUCCCGCUCCCGUCCUUCGCCAUUCCCCCGUCGGCCGCAGAACCUUCUAGAAUCUUCCGGUCGCGGUGCGACAGCCACGAGGGGAACUUCUUGAGCGUGACAAUGUCGUCGUCAGCGACGGGGGAGACGGCGUUGAGAACGGCGAGCGCGGCGCUGGCCAGGGCGCUGAGGGACUCCAAUUGUGGCCCCACCGAGGCUUUCGCCGACCCGCGGAGGCCGUCGCGGCACGUGCCGUAGUUGGUGAGCACGGCGCUCACCCACGUGCGAGCAUUGAAGCGGGCCGCCCCUCCGACGACGGCCGCGAGCCGGUCUCGCGAAAGGUCCAUCAGCUGCAUGCAGUCGGAGAGAGCCGACUGCUGCUCCAGCUCGUUGAUUCGGAGACGGACGUCGGACACAGCAGCUGCUGCAACAUCGAGCUGGUGCAGCGACUUAUUCACUAUUGCAGUAAAAAUCCGGACCGGGUCAGGCCGGGAAAUAUUAUCACCCGCGGAAGCAGAGACUGCAGCGUCAGAGACAAUGGCGCUGCAGGACGUAGCGUCAGGAGAGUUGGUACAAAGAUCAGACAACUGAAUAGGAUUUAAAAUAAAGAUAAGAUGAAUGAUGGCAAAUCCGGUUACUGAGAUGAGAGCGGCGAACAAGAACAGCUUCCACAUCCAACUACUCUUUCUGGUGGGAGGAGAGAGGAGGAGGGGGUCAUGGGAUGGUGGAGACAUGGUGGGGAUUAAGACUGAAAGAUAAGAGAUAUGCGUGCAAGGAAAAGGAUAGCACUGCAAUUGCCUUUUUAUACUGGGGAGAUAGUGGAAGGAUGAGACUCAAAACUUUUCUCAAUAAGAUUCCAUGUUGACGCCUCGGGAGAGUUGGCUUCCUUUUAUUUUGUUUUGUCACCAACUCACUCACUCUUGUAGCAUAUUUUUAAUUAGUUGGAUGAAAUACUAUUUAUUUAUUUAUUUAUUUAUUAAUUAUCAAGUGAGAAACAAUUAAGUAGAUAUAAAAAUAUAUUCAAAACAAGAGAUGCGACCGAACCUAGAUUCCCCCGCUCCCAGGUUUAGAGAGAAAGAGAUAGCGAGCUAGCUGCUUCAUUCAUUAAGCAAAAUGAACAAAAUUUACAUGAUGAAAACAGCUAAGACCUCCUAAGAAAAGUAGAAAAAAUGUCUGAAGUAAAAAAGAAAGUGAAAAAUAAAGCUAGAAGAAAAAGCGAGAGAGGGUGAGAGAGUACAGAAGUGGGUAUCCCCAGCAUAGAAAGAGGAAGAUCCCGUGAAUCGUCGAGGCAAACAAAUUUUAAAUCAAUUAAGGAGCCAGCUAAAGAACUGGCAAAGUAAACAGCUCCACUUUUUUUAGCUAAGUUCAAAGAACUAUCUGAUCAGGGAAGUAUAAUAAACAAUAAUAAUUGAACGUCUAGUUGGAAAAGCCGCUUUUUUAAUAUCCUCCAUGUGGAAAGUAGUAGUUAGCUACUCUGGAUCGAUAAUACCUCUACUAAGGCUUAAUUUACAUCCGUAUUCAUCGUACUUCAGAGUUUUUUAUUUGCCUACUAUUAAUUUUUGCUAAGUACAACAAUAUAUUAACGACGUGUUUGUCGUUGAAACGGAAACUCAUCGCUCCGUUAAAAAAAGAGACGAGAAACAGAGAGAGAGAGGGGACAGCGAGUUCAAAAAGACAUCAAAAUAGGUAAGAAUCCGUGGGUUUUUUUUUUUUUUUUUUUUUUUUUUUUUUUUUUUUUUUUUUUUUUUUUGGGGUUGUUGUAAUUCGGUCUGCUAGUGUAACUUAUGUUGGCUAUUUAUUAUUGUCUAAAAUAUAUUCAACUUUCUAUCCCGUGACAAUGAACUCAGGAGAGCAAUAAAUUAAGCUGGGUUGAGCCCAAUAAGUUGACUGGGGAUGCGAUCCACAAGAUCUCCAACAUUCAUACAGAUUGAGUUAGGUCAAAAUCCGUGAGGCGCUAUGGAUGUGCCCGUAAGUGCGAUGGAUGUGUUUUUCAUGUCAGCACGUAUUUUUGGGAUAGUUCGUGAGUGCUUAUGCUAUCAACCUCAUUAACGAAUAACGAUGCAAUGUUUACUGAGUAAUAUCAAUCUUUUAAUCUUCCAUUUUAGGGUCUGAUGGGAUGCAUUGCACUUUCUCAUGAUCUUCCAUUUUAGGGUCUCAUUGGAUGCAUUACACUUUCUCAUGGUUGGGAUAUUAUUUUUGUUUUAGAGAGAUAUAAGAAGAUAUUUGAAAGUGAACUGAAGAGCAUGUGGUCCAAAUUUUUAGGGAUAUGAUAACUCACCUCUAUUAGAUUUUUUUUUUUUUUUUUUUUUGAUGUUGAGAUAUCUUGAAGUUUCUUUUUCUAAAAUAAAUUCUAAUUCUAUAUUAUUGGAUGUGGUGAUAGAUAAGCUUUUCUAUUCUUGUUAUUAUUGGUUUACUUGCAAUGCAUUGCAUUUCAAUGCAUGAAGGUUUUUUUUUNAUCACAAAAUAAUCUAAGUUUCAUUCUUAUUUUAUUAAAAAAAGAUUUAGAAAGCAAUAGGAAUGGAAAGAAAUUUUAAAGCAAAGUUUCUUAAAAUUAAACUCAUUUACAAUAUUAAACAAAAAAACAAAUAAAAAAGAAAAAUUAAAAGAUCAUAUUGUCAAAUCAUUUGAAAUUUUUCUUAUAUGAAAUGCCAAAUUAUGAAAGGAAAGAUAGAGAGAGAAAAAGGAAACAAAGAGAAAAUAAAAAUUUUGAAAAUAUAGUAGAGGUAAAAUGAUUAAAUUGCCCAAAUAUUAAAAGACAAAAAUACUCUUUUUUGAGAUAUCUGGUAACCGGUAUCUCUCCCAAAGUGACAUGCGGUCAUAAUUUUAAAAAAACUAAAUCUGAGCCGUUGAAUACGCGUGAAUGAAUGGUAAAAAAAAAAAAAGAAGAAGUAUAGAAGCAGUACUCAAACUUCAAAUACCACCCAUACGAUUUUGCACUUUCCUAUUUUAGUAUCCUAUAGUUUAAAGUGUAUCGAUUUAGUGUUGUAUGGUGGUUUUAUUUUUUUCUUUUCGUCAGUUUCUUCGUUAAUAUUUGUCAAAUUAAAUACAAAAAACUUCAAAUACCCCAUCUAGAUUUAUCGAAUAUUCCUUUUAGUAUUCUUUAGUUUUAACUUUGUAACUGAUUUAAGAGAAAAAAAUUAGUGGAAUUGAUAAUAAAAAGAGAAAAAUGAAAUCGUAGAGCACUAAAUUGAUACAGUUUAAACCAUAGAGUACUAAAGUGAGAGCGUCUGAAACCACAGGGGUGGUAUUUACAGUUUUUUCUUUUUUUUACUUCUUAUUCUAAUGAGUAAAAAUACUCGGCCUUCCUGUCUCGCUAAAUAAAACUACUUGCCCACUCGUUUUUCGCUAAUAUUGGCUUUAGUUGGCCAUUUCUGAUAAUUUUAAUUAUGCUCCGUUAACGAAGUGAUUGUUACGACAAACGCACAAAUGGAAACAAAAUGGCGAAUACGAAACACUCAAACCAUAAGCAGAAAAAAAAAGAUAACACGCAGAUUUACAUGGAAAAUCUUUUGCAGGAAAAAACCACCGGCAAGGGAGGAGAGAACUUCACUGUCGAAUGAAAAAGGGAAUACAAUGUUCAGAUGAUUACAACCAACCACGAUCUCACGUCUCUAGGGCAAAAACGAAAAAAGAAAACUCAUAACGAGUUUCGGAUUCGAUCCGUACCGCAGGGGCUCCGCCCCACUCACCCCCUGGCGUUUUCCUUCCCAAAAUUGUUUUCCAAUUUGGUCACACCGCGAAGCUGUCGGCGAGUCGAAAAUCCAAACUUGAGUUGAUAAUCAAUUUCGAGUCACAUCUAACAAUAAUGAAUUUUCCAUUUCAACGACUUUUUUCGCUAAGAUAUUGUCGCACUUGAUAAAAAAUAAUUGUAUAGUGUAGUAUUUGGAAAAAAACGAAGAAAAUGGAUCUGCAUGUACUAGCACCAGUUUGGUGAAAGAUAAAGUUUGAGAGAAGCCAUGUGAUCUUUAAAAACCGUUACUCUUAACUUAUUGGCUAUUAUUCGAAAAAUCACUAGAAUAGUGAGAUUAUGGGAGGAAUUUUGUUUGCGCUAAUGACGUCCCUUUUGUUGUAGAUGUUUGUGUUGUGUGGGUUUUUUUUCAUCUUUCUUUUUCUAUCUUUCUUUACUUUUUUUUUUUUUAUUUUUGGUUGCUCUUGCAAAGGAUUAAUUGCCUCAUCUUUAUAACUAAGUUUAUUUUUUUUAAUGAAUAAAGCAAAUAGCUUGCCACGUUCAAUUCAUAUAGAAAUGCUUAAUAGAUCAAUAAAUGAAUAACUCUAUCCGUAUAAAGGGAUUGGACAGUAUACUCAUAAUUUAGGAUUAAUUUCACUGGUACUUUUUAAAAAAUUGAUAAUAUCGUAAAUACCCUCACAAAAUUAAUAAUACCAUAAUUAUCCCUCUAAAUAUAUAGAUUCUUUCAAAUCUACCCUUAUUUGUAAGCUCUAUUAAAUUCACAUGGGAUUAAAAAUUACUUACUGAUCUUGCCCUUGAUCCUUAAAGAGUGUUGAAGGUUUUAGUAAGAAAAAAUAUAUUCAACCCCCUCAAGUAUAGGCUAUUUUGAUAAAGUUCCCUAAUUUUUUUUUUCUAUAUAAAGACCCAUUCAAUUUUUAUUUAUUUUGUUUAAAAUGAUUUCAUUAAUUAAAUUAAAUAUUUUGUUCAAAGUCAAGACACUCCAUUAGCAACUAAUUAUUAAAUCUAGAAUUACACUAUUUUUGCAAGUUGAAUGAAAAUUUUAGCUAUUUCAUCAAAUUUAACGGCUUUAACUAUUUUUAUUUAAAGACAUUAUAUAUUUAAUAGUUAGUUGCUAAUGGAGUGUUGUAGUUUUGAACAACGUAUAUAAUUUAAUUCAUAGAGUUAAUUUAAAUCAAAAAAUGAAAAUUGAAUGGGUUUUUUAUGCAGGAAAAAAAAAUUAGAGAUCUACUUCAAAAUAACCUAUAGUUGAGGAAGUUGAAUAUAUAUUUUCUCACUAUAACCUCCAACACCUUUCAAGGAUGAAGGGCAAAAUAGGUAAUUAAUUUUCAGUCUCAUAUGAAUUUAACGGAGUUUGCAAAUAAGGGUAGAUUUGAAAAAAUCUAUAUAUUUAAAGGGAUAAUUAUGAUAUUACUAAUUUUAUGAGGAUAUUUACGAUAUUAUCAACCUUUUGAAGGGCACUAGUGAAAUUAACCCUAUAAUUUAAUAUGAGAGAGAGAGAGAAGAAAUUAACAAUGAAAAAACAAUUUAUAUCAAAUUCCACGAAAAAUAGUCUAAUCAACUAUUUACCAGAAUUAAUGUGUUGCAUAUGAUGAGCAGUUGAUUAAACUGCCUUUUCGCUAGAAGAUUUCUAAUGUAAUUAAUUUUGAUUCGACAGAGCACUUUAUACUAGAAUUAUUGUAAUAGUUGAAAAUUAAAUGAUGCUCGCAAAUUCUAAAAUAAGAUAUAUAUCUUAUAUUCUACCGUCCAAGAAUUGAAAUAAUAUCUCGUGGGUUUUAAUAUUAAGACUAACAAGGUAAAACAGAUCAACGGAUUGACAAAGCGUAAGAUUUAUAUCUAUUUAAAGUGUACAAGUAGUAUUAAUCUGAUUUAUUAAUUCUAGAAGGCUCAAAAAAAGACAAAUUAUUAAAAUUAUAUCUAAAAUAAUAAAAUUAUUAUAUUUAAACUGAAAGAUUGGACAGUAAACUGAAAAUAGUCUGCAGUUGAGAUAUCUGUAGAGUUUUACAAGCUUAGUCCUACUCAUCAAUCCACCUCUAUCCUUAUUGGUAUAGGAAGGAUAACACAAAUCCCAAUCCCAAUCCCAAUCACAAUCCCACACCUAUAAGAGCUCUUUUCUGGGAAUGGAAACUAAACAGGAGAACCCCCUUGGCCCCUCAUAUGAUGAUUGAUUUCAUGUGGUUGCUUCAUUUGCUGUGGCUGAUGAUUUUUUUGGGUAGUUAUGUUUUGCACGCCAUGUGUUUGAUUUUNUCAUUUGAGCCCCACUGAUGCCACACAAGUGAAAGGUCCUCCCCCCCCUCUCUCUCUCCCUCUUUCCUGUGCAAAGUUCUCUAAUUUAUGCUUGAAUUCACUUGUUUGUUGUGGUAAUUUAGGAACCUCAUAUGAUGAUUGAUUUCAUGUGGUUGCUUCAUUUGCUGUGGCUGAUGAUUUUUUUGGGUAGUUAUGUUUUGCACGCCAUGUGUUUGGAUUUAUGUUUCUUUGAGAGUUUAUGGAAACAUUAACCUAUAUUUUCCCUGAAUAGAUUGCACAGUAAGAUUGUUUGAAAUGAGGUUUGUACCUCCUUUUUUUUUCUAUACCAAGACAAAAGCAUUGAAUUGAGACAGGGAUUGGGGAAAGGGAUCUUAAAAAUGCCUCUUUUAGGGCCAAUAAUUGUACUAAUCAAACACAAAAAAAAGGGGAAAAUCGACCAAACCCACAAAUUACAUUGCUGCUUAGAUCAUCAAUCGAGGUGUGAUUUCACAAUGUGAUAGGAUUUAAAUUGCACGAGCAAAUAGGAAAACCUAAAUUAAUGAAAAAAAAAGUCAAAUUUUUGCGGAGUGAGCGGAAAAUUACCCAGCGAGAACGUCGAAAUUUUGGACCAAAACCUUGAGGAAAGAUCCCGAUCCCAAUCCCAUUCCAACUCUUCUUCGUCUUCGAUCUCGAUUACUCUCUUUUCUUUAAAAUCUAAAAUCGCAAAGAGGAUGAGUUGUUCGCUUGUCCUUUUUUUUUGUAUUUCUCUUUGCUUUUAGGGCAUGGGAGCGAGUGCAAUGUUUCUCACACUCACAACGGGAGGGGACAGUAUGCGGCGGUGCGACUGGGCUCAUAGAAAUUUCUAUGCGGGCGAUUCUGGAAGGUUUAUUCGAGGAAAGUUGAGAAUGAAUUAGUGAAUAUCUAGAAAAAAAAACUUAGUGCCGGUUUGGACCCGUUUCUCUGCUGCUACUGCUGCUGCUAUAGCUUUUGCUGUGAUGCGAAGCAAUGGUUAUUUACAUUUUGAAAGUAUUGAGGGCUGCUUGACAAUAAUACACGAUGCACCGUAAAGAAUAUAGGUAUGAUUACAGAAUGGUGCUUUAUUGAGUUCUAUCAACCAGGAAUCCAUGAUACAAGUGUCAUCCAAAUUCGUUCGUGAGAUGGCUAAUGUAAUAAGUAUCAUCCAUAUGCAAGAUUAAUAUUGAUCUGAUUAUUUGUCUUUCUUGGCAAAGCAAGCUUAACUAUCUCCACAAGUUAAGAGAGUUCAUUCCAUUCUUUCUCAUACUAAAACACUGGUGUAAAAGAUUGAGUGAUUAAACGUAGCUCUAGAUUUCAUCUACUUGGGUAAACUUAACUUUAUUGUGAUAAUGCCGGUCUUUUAUGCUUUGUUGAUUCAGGGUGUAAGAUUAAUGGAAGUUUCUGAGAAAUCUUCAUCUAGUUAUCACCUGGGCCCGCCGUGGUUAUUUAAAGGCAGGCAAGACCUCGCCACUUUUUGUUUUCUAGGAUGAGUUAAAAUAUUUACAUGUACUUGUUAGUACAUAGUAAUAGUUUUUAUUUGGUUCUAGUGCACUCUACCAGCUUCAUCUAGUGAAGGCGGAUAUUGCUCGUGCUUUCAUACCUAAGGAGCUGAAACUUGUUGAAGCCUUCGGGUAUUGAGUCGUAACAGACAUGGAUCUCCUUUAAGCUCAAGUUGUUCGUUUUUUUUCUUUAUAAUUAAUAUAAGUUUCAAAUUUGCAGGUAUACGCUUGGUGGUUUGUUCCUUGCGCACUAUGACGAAAGCCCGGCUGGAAAGUUUGAUGAGGUUAAAAUUGUGGGAGUUUAACAGCCAAAAUAGUAACACCUCUCAAGGAAUUACAUGUUAAUUGUUUUCUUUUAGUGCUUUUAAUUUUUGACAGUUAAAUUAUGAUUAUGUUUGCAGCUUUAUAACUCUCUUAGAACCUAUUACGUAUUCGCCUGCAUUUGUAUAUUCUCAGCUCGUAGUAAUUGCUGGUAUCGUGUGGAACCCGCCUACUUCAUGCGCGUAAUAUUUCUAUCCCUAUUUUGUUACAGACAUUUAGAAGAAAAAAGAUUAUAGGUUAUUUGAUGACUGUUUCUCUUUGUUGUACCGUGCAAAAUGUUAGUACUAACUAGUCAUAUUAUAUUUUGUUUUUGUUUCAACUCUUCUAUCAGGUGGGCUGCAAGAGUACUUGUGAAUAGUAAUGAAGCUUGUCACCAUGGUAGAAAGGUGCGAAAAGGAAGUAUACUUUCUGAAUCAUUUAAGCUAUCACUCCUCUUUUCAGGUCAGUAAGAUCACUUCUAUUCAUCCAGGAAAUUGGGCUUCCGAGCCAUGUUGCCAUAUUUUCGAAGGUAUUUCAGAUUUAUCUUUCCUUUUUUUUUCCCCUACAGACUACUGUUGGUUUGAUGGAUAGACCCAUAUCCAUGUCAUUCUUGCUAUCCUAGAAUGUUUUAGGUACUUUAAUUCACAUGAUUUUGAUAAAUGAUUCAUGUUAGUAAUAUAAAACUAGUUGCAGUUACGAGCAUGGUUGUGAAAUUGGUUGCAUUUCUCUUUUCUUCUACUUUAGUACAUACUAAAUCGGCAAAAACAUAUGGACAACCCAGCAAUAGGUCGUUUAUAAAUGGGUCCCUUCGCUUCUGUCUUUUGGAUCUCAACAGUUGUAUUGUUUUAUUUCAGAGUACUCAAAUCUCUAACAUUUUUUAUGGAAUGUUCCGCCACUUUAGAGACUAUUAGAAUGUUCCGCCACUUUAGAGACUAUUCUACAUCUCCUUCAGAGAGAAACAUUAAGUAAACAGAAUCCCUGAUGUAAUUCAAAUUACACGUUCGUUGAGAGUAAAAAUACUAAAAGAAUUUGAAGUUCUGGGCUUUUUCCCAAUGACCUAUAGUAUGGUGGGUGUCUAUAUCUUUUUGCCUGGUAAGUAGCAGUGACUGUUGUGUUUGAAAAUGAAUGUUCUUUAAGCUUGAACUGAGAUUUAAUAGUGCAAGUGCAUUGUCAUCUGAUGCUACACGCAAAUUAUCUUCUAUGAAAUAGAGAAAUGUGGAACAUACAAAGAAACCAUUGAGUAGAUGCAGUAGCCUUCUAAGUAUGAUUGGCAUUAGUUCAACUUGUCCCAAGCAACUGGCACAUAGCGAGAUUGAAGUAUCAGAGAUUGAGGGCUCUUCUAUGAUGCACAUGUGUAAUAUCAGCUUGCCAUUUGCCGGUAAGUGAAUUCUUUUGAGUAAGUAGCAUUUGAUAUGACUAAUUUUCGUCCGGUACAUUAUUUUCGUCAGAUGAGGUAAUUCAAAUCAGGUUAUUAUUCAGAAAAUUUUCUGGGCAGCUGACACUUGCCAAAUGUAUGAGUAGUCCCUUUAAAAUCAUAAUAUAGUGACUUUAUUGCUGUAUUUUUCACUUGAGCAUUUUAGUCCCUGAACUCUUUACAUUUUAGUCUUUUAUUCUAUGAAGCCGCUUUAUUUCGGUGAGUAACCAAAACAGUAACUCAUAUUGUACCAGAGAAACCACCCAUGUAUGACAAGUAAUUAUUACUGUUAUUACCAUUUUUUUUUUUUGCUGAAACAUUGAAUUUGGUUUCGGUUAGUGAAAUAUGAAUACCUAGCUGAUCAUACUACAUUAUGUUAUUCAAUUUCUUGUUCUGAUAUUUUUGAAUUCUAUCCUUCUGGUUGUGACGGCAGUGCCGAAAUCAAGUAAGAGUGGCAUGUGGAUGGGCCCUAGAAUCAGAAUGUCUCUUCCGAGUUUCAGGUUAGGUUAUAACAUAGACGCAGAAUCAGGUUCUUAACAAAGCUUUUUCUUUUGCUAGAGGAUGACUUUAACUAUGGAAAUUUCAGCGGCCAAACGGAAUACAAUUCUCACCUUCUAAAGUACGCCUGCCAAAUGGAAUGCAGGUACGAAGAAACUAAAUCAUUUCGAACAUUUACACUCAAAUGUAAAUAACUUUUGCUUAUGAUUUAUCUUUUACACAGUUCAGUGCUUCUUGGUGGUUUCCGUUUAUAGUUGCUAAUCUGUUUCGGAAGAGUGGCAAAAUUAGCUUGUUUAAUGUUUCAAAAAAAAUUUUAAAAAAACUUGUAGGCAUGUACUUGAAAAAGUUUUCUUUUCAAGGUGACUCUACAGAUACAAAUUUUUUUUUUUCUGUUACUUUUCCCUCCAGAUCAUCUUUCUGGCUAUUUGUAUACUCUAUGGUGAUUUACUAUCUUGUUUCUGCUUGUAGUACUUAACUAUCCUGUUACUAUGACUCUAAAAGAUGAAAAUUGUUUUACAAGUUUAUAUUUGAGUAAAUUGAAAUAUGGAAAUUCGUAUAUAUGAUUACCUGCUAAAGGUGAAUUUCUGUACCGACUAUGCUAGCACUUGGCAUCUAAUUUGAUCUCUCUCUUCUAUCUACUCUUGUUGUAUACUUUAUAUGUUCUUUUUCCCUACGCAGUGUACGAGCAGUAAAAGCUGCUAAAGUAUCGAGCCCGGCUACUAAAGACACUCAUAAGCAUUCUCGAGACGCUCACUCUGAUUACAGCAAUCAAGAUACCAGUCUUUUAGCGGAAGAUAAUGCAUGGAAUCGAAGCAUAUCGGUGUUAUUGUCGAAGCCCAUCUUGGCUUUGGAGUUCAACCUUCUAAAGAUGCAGGUCGAAGCUCCGAAGUUCGUGGUUCCUGACUCGAAGAAGAGUCAAGUUCGAUAUUCGAGUGCCUAGUUAUAUCCUCUGGACAUUUACCUAUCUAGAUAUAUGUCUUUGGGAAUAACUUUUAGGUUUCGCUUCUGAUUAUUCGGUGUUUUUGUCUCCAAAUGUGAGAUUGCUACUUGUAAGAUGUCGAAAAGUAUUUCAAGUGCAAAUAUGCAUGCAAAUUUCAGUUUCAAGCUGCUUAUUCAGAUCUGCUACAUACUCAACAGAAGCCACAAGCACUUAUUGGUAAAAGCAGCAAGGAAUGAUCAAGUAAAGAUCAAGCAUAGGCUUCUGCAAUGUCCAUGAGAUACUGGGACAGCUCCUCCGGCGUCGACAGCAUCGCCAUGUGGUCAGCGUUUUUGAUCGUCUUCACCUCUUUUACCGGGCUUUUCGCGAUCAUGNCUUCCUCCUCACACCGCGCUCUUAUAUAUAUAUAUAUAUAUAUAUAUAUAUAUAUAUAUAUAUAUAUAUAUAUAUAUAUAUAUAUAUAUAUAUAUGCAUGCAAGUAACCAAAUUGUUAGCUUUAUUGGGAAAAAUAAAAUUGUUUGGUAAAAGCUUAUAUUAGGCUUGAACAAACACUUUCAAAAACUUUAAACCAUUUCCUCUGAAAUUCAAGCUCCUAGAUGACAGUUUUUUUUUUAUAUUUUAUUCAGCAACUUGCAAAAAAAAUUUUGUUGAACAUUUUUUAGAUAAUUUCUCGCGAAACUUAGGGGUGUUUGGUUACUCAAAAAAAGCGUGAAAAACCUUUCUUUGGAGAAAUUUUUUUCUGUAGAAACAUUCUUUUUCACAGUUCUUAUUUUCUGGAUAAAAACAUGGAAAACAAAAACAGUACUUUUCCGUAAAAUCUAAAAAAGAACUUUUUUGGAAAAUAUAUUUUUUUUAUUUUUUUUUUAACGGUAAGACAUUCAAUGAUGAUCGGCACCGUUAAAUAUAAUCUAGACCGUUUGAAAAUUUUAGUAAAUUUUAUAAUUUCAUAAUAUCAUUUAUUCAGUGAUCAAGUGGUCUGAAAUUUUUAUAAAAAAUUAGUCAUUAAAAGCAUGUUGAUUUUGAGACCACUCGAACCAUGAGAAAAUAACAAUAUCGAUCGUGGAUUCAGACACCGAAUCCCCGAAAACAAUGCAGAACUAAACGACUCCGUUUUCUUCGGGAAACAUUUUUAGCUCCUGCUGUGCAAAUUAACUACAUUUUUAGCACACCAAACAAUUAAUUAAGUAAUUAAUUAAUUACCUCAGGUGAGCAGAGUUGGUAGAGCCUUGAUUUGAGAAACUGAGGGCCAAACAACAUGGUCGUUGGUCGAUUUGAAUACGAUUUAAACACCGUGUCCAUCCAAUAUGAUCCAGAUGCUUUGCUCAACUAUUUAAAUUAGUACAAUAAAUAGUUAAUUAAACUAAUUAAUUACUUAACCAUGUUAAUAUUAAUAGGUUAAAUUGCAAAAAAAAUAUUUUGUGCGCUUUAGCUUAUGUCUUAAUCAUCCCCUGCGAUAAAAAAUUUGAGGGUAAUUGUUGUAUUCAAUCACAAAACUUUACUAAUAUACUACAAACUUGUAUCUGCAAAAUUUUUCUAUUUAAUUCAACAGUUUUCUUUAAAUUUUGUAUUUUUAGCCAUUCAUCAAAUAUAAUGCAGUUUUAAUUAAUAACUCUAAUUAAUGCACAACUGUUUGCUAUUGUAAAUUAAUGCACAACAACAGAAUUAGAAUUAGAAUAAUCCAAUAUUAUUUUUUUUUCUCUUUUUUUUACACUCGGAGAGAGAAAAUAUUCUGCGCUAGGUCGCUACAAAAGAAAUAUUGUGACUUUCUAUUACACUAAAUUUCUUAUCUUUAUAAAAUAAAAAAAAUAUUUAGGUAAAAACAUAUGAAAUUUAUCUGAAUUAUAAACUAUUUUAAAUCGAUCAACCAACCAAAUUUUCAAAAUUUGAUCUUACUAGCCAUCUUUUCUACUUUGUUUGAUUCAAGUUAAUCAAUAAUACUUUAACUUUAAAAUCCAAAUGCGCUGUUUUUCUUUAUAAGUUUAAUUAAUAUAUUUCAUGCAACUCUCAUAAUUAUAAAUUUAUUAAACUAAAAAAUUAAUUUAAAUUUUAAAUUGAAAGUAUUAUUAACUGACUUAAAUUAAAGGGGAAACUUCAAAUACCCCUCGUGUGGUUACGUAUUUUUUCACUUUAGUACCCUGUGGUUUAAAGUGUAUCAAGUUAGUACUCUUUGGUUUCGUACUUUCUCACUUUAGUACCCUGUGGUUUCUAGUGUAUUAAGUUAGUCUCCUAUGGUUUCGCAUUUUCUCACUUUAGUACCCUAUGGUUUAAUAUAUUUUUAAAAUUAUUUAUCCUGAAAUGGAUAAUAAAAAGAGAAAAUUAAAACCACAAGGUACUAACUUGAUACAAAAAUAAAACAAUAGGGUACUAACUUGAUACACUUGAAACUAUAGGGUACUAACUUGAUACACUCGAUAUUAUAGGGUACUAAAGUGAGAAAGUGCGAAAUCGCAGGGUACUAACUUGAUACACUUUAAACCACAUGGUAUUAAAGUGAGAAAGUGCGAAACCACAGGGGGAGUAUUUGAACUUUUUCCUAAAUUAAAUAAGGGAAAACUACAAAAGCCCCCCUGUGGUUUAAAAUGUAUCAAUUUGCCCCCAUGUGGUUUCUUUUUUCUCUUUUUCUUAUCAAUUUCAUAAAUUUUUUUUAAAUCAGUGAUAAAGUUAAAAAUUAAAGAGUACUAAAGUGAAUAUUUGAUAAAUCUAGAUGGAUAUCUGAAGUUUUUUAUAUAUAAUUUAAUAAAAUAUUAACGAAAAAGCUACCGAAAAGAUAAAAACGAAACCACAGGAGGGGCAAUUUGAUACAUUUUAAACCACAGGGGGGCAAAAUGAGAAACUACGAAAUCACGGGGAUUUUUGAAGUUUUCCCAUUAAAUAAAUAGUAAAAUUAGAUUUGUGAUACACCGCAUAAAAAAUUCAAAAUCAUCUAUUGACAAAUUUUAUAUAUUUAUUUUUUUUUAUCUAUUUAAGAACUAUAAUAAGUCGAUACUACUAUUUUACUGAAUAGAAGGACAAUACAACCAAUGGAUUUAUUGUAGUCUAGUAUUUUUUUUAUUCUGCAUUAAUUGUUAAGUGGUUUCUUCGUUGGUACUUCAAUUAAAUUAAAUUAAUUAAUCCGUUAAAUUUAGUUUAAAAGGGGUGCGUGGAUCUAGUUCCUGAAAAAUUUAUGGCGCGAAAGUACAGAACUUAUUUCAACUAUAAGCUUUUUGAAUUUGAUUAUUUAAAUUUUUAAAAUUUUAUUUUUAUUAUAAAUUUAAAGAUUAGAUAAUAAAAUUAAAUUUUUAAAAUUUUUUAGACGAAUGAGCUGAAAGAUCUAAUCUAGGGAAAAAUGCUACAGUGUAGCAGUUACAUCGCAUUAUCUAUUUUCAGCCAAUCAAAACUCUCAAUUUUACGAAAAAGUAUAAUAAAAAUAUUUUUUAAAAGAAUUAUAAUAAAUUAGAUGAAUUCUAAAAAUAUAAUUUGAUUAGUUGAAGAUAGGUUCGAAAGUCAGAUUGUGUUCGGCUCAAAAUGAGCUCGAGACCGAAUCGCUCGUUUAGUAAACGNACUCUAUAAAUAUAUAUAUAUAUAUAUAUAUAUAUAUAUAUAUAUAUAUAUAUUGUGUAGAGUUACUAUGCUAUCGGAAGUAUAGAGAAUCUGGUAUUUCUGACUUUUUGAUAUUUUGAUAAAAAAUUAUACGGUUGGGAUGAUUGCGGUCCCCCCUAGGGGCUAGGGUUUAAUAGUAUUCCUAGAGUUGAGUGGUCUCUAUAGGAUAAUAGUAUUAAUUUAAAGAUUAGAAAUAAUCCAAGGGAUUGAUUUAAGAGCCAAAAAGUCGAAAGUAUCGGAUUCUCUAUGCUUCCGAUAGGAUAGCAGCUCUACUCAUAUCAUAUUCAUAUAUAAAUAAGUAAUUAUAUAUAUAAUACGAAUUUUUAUCAUUUAAUUUUUACCCCAAUUUAAAUAUAAAGUCAGACUCAACUAUUAAAAAAAUCAAUAUAUAUAUAUAUAUAAAAUUUUAACCACUAUAUCAAAAUCUAAUGCAUAAGAUUUCAUAAAUUUAUUUUUUGUAUAUAUAUAUAUUCUUUCUAAUUCUUUUAACUCGUUAUUUGUAAGCCAGCUCGUGUUCGGCUUGUUUAUUAACGAGUCGUGUUAAACGAGCCAAACACGAAUUGAAUUUUUUAGCUCGAUAUUUUAAUGAAUCAGUUUGCAUUCAGCUCGUUUACAGAAGCGGAUUCAACUCGCUCGUGUCCGGCUCGUUAACAAUCCUACAUGGCUGUCGUAUUUUUAACUUUGUUUUUAUUUUUUAUUUUGGCUAAAUUACAGAAAACCCCUCUAUAAUAAUCUGCUUUUUCACUUUCCCCUCCUGACAUUUAAAAACCUACACUUUGCCUCCUUAUAAAAUGAAAAAUAUUCACAGGGGGGUUACGGUGUGUAAAAUGACCAUUUUGCCCCUCGCCAUUGUCGUCUUCUUUCCCAUCUUUCUCAGCCGCCCCUUCGUUCGGCCGCGAUUCCCACUUCAAUCGGCUGCAAUUUCUCUCCAUUUUUUUCUCCACCUGCUUUCCUUCCCCUCCUGCACCCUCGUCGCCCUCGAUUUCGGCGACAGUAGGAGAAAACCGAGGUGGGCGACAGUAAGAGAAGGGCAAAGAAGGCGAAGGCGAAGGCGAGGCGGCGGAGGACGGCGAAGGGGAUGUGGGUGAGGGCGAGGCAGUGGAGGACGACGAGGCGGCUAGGCGGCGAGAUGGCAAGCCGGAGGGAGUCAAAGCAACAGGGAGAUGGCGGAGGGGUAUUUUCGGCAUAAAAAUAUAUUUUUUAACUGAACCCUAACGGAACCCUAACGGUAGGAGGUGAAGUGUACAUUUUUUAUUUUACAGGAGGGUAAAAUAUAGAUUUUUAAAUGUCAAGAAGAAAAAGUAAAAAAGCGAGUUAUUAUAAGUGAGUUUUCUGUAAUUUAGCUAUUUAUUUUUUAUCAAAUGAGUAGUACAAAAGAAGUACUGCCUUGAAAAGUGGGUAAAAAGUGUAUGACAUACGAGAGUUAGGGGGUUUGCAUGCAACAUGACUUUGAAAGUAGGCACCAAACUACCAAAGAGGAGGCACGUGACCAACUACCUCAGCGGAUCUAGCUUGUUGGUACGAGGUAACAGUAUAAAAGAUUUUAAGGUAAACUUUAAAUAUUAUCUCUGUAAUUUUAUAUUUUUUUUACUCUAAUUUUUUAUUAUUUAAAGUGUAUCAAUUUAGUAUCAUAUGUUUUUUUUUUUGUCAGCUUUUUUAUUAAUAUUUUGUUAAAUUAUAUAAAAAAAAUUUUAAAUAUCCCACCUAAAUUUAUUAAAUAUUUAUUUUAGUAUUUUUUAGUUUUAAUUUUGUCACUGAUUUAACGAAAAAAAAAUUAAUGAAGAGAAUAAUAAAGAGAGAAAAAUGAAACCAUGGGUACUAAAUAAAUAUACUUUAAACCACAUAGUACUGAAAUUAAAAAAUGCGAAACUAUAGAGGUGGUAUUUAAAAUUUUUUCAAAAUUUUAUGUCAGAAACUAUAUUCUUCUCUAAUUUUAUAUCCUUCAAUUAAAAUUUUUUUAUUAAUUAGCGAAGGUUCACAGCAAAGUAAAUUUUUUUAAAAAAAUCAUAAAAAUAGAGAAGAGUAGUGGGUUUCACAAUAAGGCUAGGCUUUUGAUUUUGAUUUUGAAAAAAAAUAUUAGGUAAAUAUUUGUACAUUUGUUUCUUCAUAUAAUAUAAUAUAAUAUAAUAUAAUAUGUAGAUAUAGAAAAUUAUAGAAUCACAUAAAUCAGUCUCUUUAUUUUGUAUUUAUUUUUUUUUAUCACUUGAUUUUUUUUUUGUUUUCGUGUAUUUGGGUUGCUAGCGCAUAAAAAACAAAUUUGCAAGUUUCUAAUAUUAAAUUCUCCAAAAUAAUUGUAAAAACUGAUCAAUUUGGCUCAACAGUAAUUUUUUUAUAAAAAAUUGCUCAUAUAGAUAUUGUUAAAUUAUAUGAAUAACUAUUAUUCUCUAAAAAAGUUAAACUUGUUGAAAAUAAUAUUUUUAUUUUUUAAUAUUUAAUAUAUGGACUUUAAUUAAAUGAGAACAUAAAUUAACUUGAAGCUUUUAUUUGGAGAUUCUACAAUCUUUCCAACAUUUUUUUUAGAGAGAAAUAAAUAAUACGCUAUCUGUUUCGUUUAUUUUAUUUAGAAAUAAAUUUAGCUGAAAAUAUAAAUCAAUUAGAAUUCAAAUUCGAAAUCUCAGAUACCGAUCACUGAACUCUUUGUCACUUACGCUAAGAAUGAUCGAUUCUUUCAAACUUUUUUUCAAUUUUAGAAAUCUAAGCGUACAUGCUUUUCAGAAUAGAAAAGUUGUUUUAUAAGCCAAGCCAAAGUAAGAAUAUCGUACCUCAUCAUAGACGGACGAAGGCGGCGAGGUCCAAUCGGGCCUGAACGCCGUCACGAAGACGGCGGCGGCGACUUUCUCGGGAAACUUCUCCAUGGCCAAAGCUAUGUUCAGGCCACCGAGGCUGUGGCCUACUAUGAUCACCCUCUCACCAUCAGGAAGGGAUCUUAGGAUCUCCAUCAACGGCUCGGAGUAUUCGGCGAAGGUGCGCACCUCGUCGAUCUGCCGAGGGUCGAUACCGGAGGCGGCGAGGUCCGGUACGGUGACCCGGUAACCCGAUAACCGGAGCCGCGUCGUGACCUUGUACCAGCACCAGGCUCCUUGGCCUGCUCCAUGCACAAGAACUACGUGCUUGUUGGUAUUGUUGUUCUUCGAGUUCUCCAUCUUUCUUUUUUUUUUUCUAUCUAACGAGAUUAUAUAUAUAUAUAUAUAUAUAUAUAUAUAUAUAUAUAUGAAAAUUAAGGUCUUAGAGGUGUCCCAGGGCUCCAAUAUAUAUCGAUGGAAUGAGAAUACACAUCCACUCAUAAAUGCUUUAUAUAAAUGCACAGCUACUUAUUAAGUAGGUAUUGGUGAGCCAAAAUAAUUGAAAUGUGCUUACGCAUAUGAUGACCAAAUGGUAGGUAUAUGUAUAUAUAUUGUUUGCAACUUUGGAUCAUCUAUGUAGAAGGUUAAAUAAAAAAAGGUAAAAAAAAAGGAAAAAAAAAAGAAAAAGACUUUAUUGCACGCACCAUUGGGAUUUUUUUCCACUUUAACUCUUUAAAAAUUUAUAAUUAGUCAAAUAAUCUUGUAAAAUAUUUAUUAAUUUGUUGAAAUAAUUCUAUUUUAUUCAACUCAUUAUUGGGGUACAAAAAUAAUUGAAAAAUGAUCAUUUUCAGGGAAUAAAAAUAAUUAAAAGAGUACAGUCAAUUAUUUACUGUUUUUUAUAAAUUUUAAAAAACGAUAAAUGAUUCACCGUCUUUUUUUUUCAUUAGAGAUGAUAAAUAAUUCACGGUCUUUCUCUUAAAAUACAAAACAAUGAAUGAUUUGUUGUUUGUUUCUAUUUCCAUAUAUAAUCUUAACAAUCAUAUAAUGAUUUCAAUUUUUUUUUUAAUUUUUAUACAAUUUCAAAAAAGAUAUAAAUUUUCUGAAGGCGUUGAAUGAUUCACCGUGUCUUUCAGAUUAAUUAGUUAGCUAAAUAAAUUAGUUGGGUCUCUUAUACUCGAAAUCAGAACUCUUUUUCCAUCCGUUAUGAAACUAUUAGGUUAAUUAUUACACAAUUAAAUUUCUAAGCUUUACUUAUUUAUUUUUCAAUUAAGUUGUUACCACGAAAAAUACCUUUGAUUCAAAUUGAAAUUACGACGUGGCUUGGUUUAUUGCUGUUGUGGUACUAACAUGAUAAAUAUUAGCUGAUGCUAAUAUGCCAGUUUUUGCUUGAGUUAAUUAAUGGUGUUCUUAGCAACAAUUAAAACUUAAUUACGAAAAAAGCGAAAGAAAAGAAGUGACAAAAAAAUAAAUACACCGAGCUAAAAAUAGCCGUUCUUUCACCAUAUGUAACACAGUCAACAAUAUGAAUCUUAAUAGGAUAAAAAAUUUUAUAUUAUAAUUUACAUGCCAAUUAAAUAUUGUCAUAAAAUAUUAGAGUUAUUUUAUCAACGUUGUCAAAACUGUCACUAUAGGAUGAUUCAUUUAUUGAAAUAAAAUGUCAUUAUAUGAUUGAUUUAGUGCAUAAGUUGGGACAAAAAUUUGCUGGGCAGCGUGCCCAAACUAAUUAGUUUGGGCACGCUGCCGGAUGGGCGCCCAAAACAAAAUGGUGGAAUAGCAAAUUUCUUACUAUUCCGGAUGUAAUACUGGUGCGAAGUGGCCAAGGUAGGGAUGUUAAUGGGUAUGGAUACCCGAAAUUUUUUUCGAACCCGAACCCGAAUGAAACGGAUAUAUCCGAUGGAUAUGAAUAUGGAUUCGGAUAUGGAUAUAAAAAAUAGAAACCUGACGGAUAUAGAUUCGGAUAUGGAUUUUGAUUGUAUCCGAUCCGAACCCGAACCCGACCCGAACCCGAAUUUAUUUUGUAUUAUAUAUAAUAUAUAUAUAUAUAAAUUUGAUGUUAUAUUUGAAUUUGUAUUUUAAAAAAUUAGAUUUAAUAUAAUAUAUUUUGAAAUAUUGAAAAAAAAAUAAAUAUUUCGGGUUCAAAUUUUUGGGUUCGGAUUCGGGUUCGGAUUUCGAAUUUUUAGUCAGGUUCGGGUUUGGAUAUGGAUUUUUAAAAUCAGUCGGAUUCGGGUACGGGUUCGAGUCUCGGGUUUGGAAUCGGGUUCGGGUUCGGGUUUUUAAAAAUCCGCCCCGAAUCCGACCCGUUGACAUCUCUAGGCCAAGGUAAGGGAGUACUGGAGAUCUCUAGAUCCUUCCGGAAUUGGGUUACCGCAUUUAUUUGCGCUGUUGAAUCCGAUCCGUUACGCCCUAGAGCGGAGCCGAGGCCCAAGUGGAUACGUGGUCCGACCAGGCCCAUGUUGACUUUUGCUUACUUGCAUUUAGCCCCAGAAUGUUCUACAAUUUGCAAUUUAAUCCUUAGGGUACUAGUAUAAAUAAGGGCAUUGUAAUAAUCCCGAUCAUCAUCGUCGCCAUCCGAGCCUCAGAGAGAUCUCAUCCUCAGCGGUUGCGACUUGCGACUCCGAUCGGGUUAAUCUCUUGUUUUGGAUCGAUCAAUGCGAUAUUGAUCUCCAUUCCUGGCAACAGCUGCGAAAUUCCCUUGAUCCUGAUCAACUGCUUGAUCAACAUGGCAACAGUAAUAGCUUGAAACUCAAGCAUUACACCGGAAUAACCGAGAAUAGUAAGAUUUGAUCGGGAUAAAAUAUUUCGGUCAAAUUUCACUCCGUUUGGCGGAAUAGCGGGGAUAACUUUCGUUAUCUCCGCUUAUCCCCUGAACCAAACGGAGGGCACCGUUUGGAUCGAGGAUAAGGGGAGGUAUAACCGCUUAUCUCCCCUUUAUACUCAAAUACAAAUUUUUUAUUCGAGAAUAGUAGUUUUCGAGUAGCUGAAAUAAGUUGGCAUAACUAUUUCCAUCAACACUUUUAUUUUCUAUAUAUAACUAUCUACUAUUUUUCUUAUUCCAUAUUAUCUAUCCAAACGCCAUUUUUUUUAUUCUCGGAAAUAACCUAAUUUUCAUCCAAACGUUAUUUUUUUUUAUUCCCAUACUUGUAUCUAUUCCUGUAAUAAGUAGUUCUUGCUUGUACCCGAACCAAACAGUGCUUUUAGUCUAUAGCUGUAAAGUUUGAGUGCAUGUAAGCAUCAGUAUGUAGCAUCAGACUUGCUUAAAUGUUUCGUCUGAAUGGAAAUAAUAGAAGAGAAAAAAAAGGGAAACGAAAGAAAAAAAAAAUAAAUAGGAUAAAUAAUUCUUUUUUAAAAGAAAAAACUUGGCUUGAAUUUCAAUUCAGUUUUUGGUAACUUCGUGUGACAACGUGGUUGGUGAGUUUAAUCUAUCUUUUGAAAAAUUACCACCUUAGCAUAGGGUUGUCAAUGGGUAUGAAUAUCCGAAAUUUUAUUCGAAUCCGAACCCGAAUGAAACGGAUAUAUCCAGUGGAUAUGGAUAUGGAUUCGAAUAUGGAUAUCAAAAAUAGAAACCCGACGGAUAUGGAUUCGGAUAUGGAUUUUGAUUGUACCCGAUUCGAACCCGAACCCGAAUUUAUUUUAUAUUAUAUAUAUAUAUAUAUAUAUAUUUGAUAUUAUAUUUGAAUUUGUAUUUUAAAAAUUUAGGUUUAAUAUAAUAUAUUUUGAAAUAUUGAAAAAAAAAAUAAUUGUUUCGGGUUCAAAUUUUCGGGUUCCGGUUCGGGUUUUGGAUUUUUGGUCGGGUUCGGGUUUGGAUAUGGAUUUUUAAAAUCCGUCGGGUUCGGGUUCGGGUUCGGGUCUCGGGUUUGGAGUCGGGUUCGGGUUCGGAUUUUUAAAAAUCCGCCCUAAAUCCGACCCGUUGACAUCUCUACCUUAGCAUCCUCAUGAUACUCUCUCUCUCUCUCUCUCUCUCUCUCUUGAAAAUUGAAACUUCCAUGUAAAACUAAAAUUGAAGUUGAAUUUUAGGGAUGAAAUUGAAAUCGGGGCCAAACUUUAGGGACUGGAUUAUGUUAAAAUUAACACCGAGGUGAUAUUUGAGAGACUUUACUUGUGAUUAAAUUGUCUUGAAUCGCUAUUAAGUCCAUGAAUUCUAAAUCGGGCAAAAAUAGGGCCGAGUUUUCAGAAUCUAUGACCCAGCAUUGUCCCCUAGCUCGGACGGGGCAGGACAAUGCCAUGUCGGGUAAGGCUUCGUGAUAGUUCUUUUAUUUUUUUAUUUUUAUAAAACUUAAAAUAAAAAAAAAGGACUAAAAUGAUUCUAUUUGUCCAUUUUUCCUAGCCUGGGAAAAUAUUUUGGCCGAAAUAAUCAUAUGUAACAACAGAUAGGUUUCAGGGCUAUUUGUAUAAAACUCGAAAUUGAAUCCGAAAAAGAAAAAAAAAAAUAAUAAUCUUGAAACCAUACCCGAGCUGGAUCGAUUAAAAAUAUCCGAAACACAAAAUUGAACCGAAUGAAAAACUGAAGAUCUGUGCCUGAAAUCGUAAAAUCAAUCCGACCAUUUACUAUUGAACUAAAUUAUUAAUAUAUAUUAAUUAUUAAAAAAAGAAUGUAAAAGAUUAUAUUUUAUAGAGGUUUCGUUCUAGCUUCGGGUUCGGCUUAGAUGCAAGUAUAAACUAUAACUGAAUUCGAAUUUGUCGGUCAUUGUAUAUAUUGAUAAUCCAAACCAUACUUGUUUAGUAUUGAUUAAAUCCAUUUGUUGUAGAUUUAGGUUCAGAUAAAACUUUCGGCUAUUCGUAACCAUUGACAUCUAGAGUGGACACAAGGAGAUCCGGUUGUGCGGAUCAUGCCCCGAUAGGCCGCAAGCCAGGCCCCUUGCAUGGCACCGUUCGAGAUGAGUAGAAGCUGUGUCGCGCUGGGCCGAAGGCCAACCCGAGACACUAAACGGCCUGCGAUGGGCACGAGCCGUGCCGUGCUGGGCCAACUAGCUAUCCAACUAAUUUUCAUCCCUAAUUCUAGAGACUUUUCCUUUUAGGGUUGAGGCUCAAUAAUUUGGUAGAAGAGUAUGGAAGAGAGAAAAAUCCUAACUCUUUGUGAUAGUGAAUUUAGCUUAAACAGAUACUACUUUUGGACAUGUACAAACCCUAAUCAUUGUGUAGUUCUCUGGUUCACCAUCAGUGUGUUUUUGUACUCAGCUCAAAUUCCUCAUCCUAAUGUAACAAUCAUGAUGAGAUCAUCUUAAACCAACUUGUCUGAUUCGACUAAUGUCGGGUCUUUCAAGUAGUCAGCUAAAUUUCAAACUCCGAAGUUUGUUUAGUUUCUCAGUUUUAAAGUUUAAGCUUCUGAUAUAAAGUAAACCAGUUUGAAUAGAAUAAACGGCUUACAGUGGUUCGGUUCUUUUACCACAUCGGUUCGCUUUCGAUUUCGAUUUCGAUUUCGAUUUUGAAAUUGUACAUGAUAAAUUUAUUUGUUUGGAUCUACAUUUUCUUACAUUAGCAAAUCUAAACCAACCAAUGCACACCCUUUGUAAAGAAGAUAUAAUUUUUUUCUCUUUGAAGAGUGUGUAGAAGAUAUUUUUCUUGGGAGGGAGUGAGAGAGUUCACUAGAGGACAAAAACCAUUUAUAUUUCUCAUGGGCCACAUUGCAUAAGAUGGUGACAUGGGCUCUCUUUUUUAUAUUUAGCUUUAUGUGACAACCAUAGAUGCCAUUAGUGUCAUGGGAUCCAAAUGAGCCCCAAAAGGGGUAGUUGUGGUGCCAUAAAUAAAAAUAAAACAUGGGGAGAAAAUCUGAAAAUGAUGUCCAUUGAGUUUUAAAUUGGUAAAUGUGUGUAUAUAUGUAUGUAUAUAUAGGCAUUUUGAAAAAUAUCCUUAAAUUAAAUUAAAAAAUUUAUUAAAUUUUAUGGGGGCUUUAUUAAAUUUUAUUUUGCAGAGUUAUUUUUUAUUUGAACUUACAAAAUUUUAAAUUAAAAUAAUUUAAAAUUAAGAGAAUUUAAUAAAGAGAAUAACAGUUGAGAGGAGAGGGUCUUCAUACAUUUUUUUUUUACCCUUUGAAUAUUUUUAUCCUAUAUAUAUUCUUAUAUUUUGCUUGCUAACAUAUUGAUUUGCCAAUAUAUCAAACUUACAACUCAUUUAAUAUUAUUACAUACAAAUAGAAAUAAAGAGUAUGACUAUUGUACUAUUAGGAGCACGGCAGCUCAUGUGCAGAGAAAAAAAAAAUUGAGAAUAAAUUCAAAAAGAAGAGAAACUGAGAUACCUAAUUUUUUUUCAAUUUUUUUUUAUCCCUCUCAUUUUAACUAUACCUCAAAAUUGAUGAAUAAUUAUGAACUUAAAAGCACAUGAAUUAUUGUGCUCUUAAUAGCACAGUAGUUCUGCUACAAAAAUAAAUAUUUUUUUGUAACCGCCUCUUUCUUUUCCAUUCCCACUUAAAUAUCUCCAAACAUAAACAAAAAGAAAAGAUAAAUUAAAAAAUAAUAAAAUAAUUCCCACUUGCGACAAAAUUUUAAAAGAUAAUAACAAAAAAAAAAAAAAAAAACUCCUCACUCUCACCUCUCAUUCCCUAUCCACUCUCCACGUGUCUCCCCUCCUAGAUUUUUCCUCCACCUUUAUAUCCCUCCCCCUCUCACCAAUCACUCCCAUCUCCAACCUCCUCUGAACCCUAAACCCUAAAACCCCCCUAACCCUAAUCCUCCAAUUCCACCCAUGGCGACGAUGGCCACCGCCGCCCUCUCCUCCACCCCGAGAGCCCUGGACCACUCGUCCUUCCACGGGGCCUCCCUCCCGUCCCGCGUCGUCCCGAUCAGAACACUGUCGUGCACAAAAACGUCCGCUCUCUCCGUGACCGCCGCCGCGUCGGUCUCGACCCCCCGGUACGAUCUGAACGCGGUCCGGUUCGAGCCGAUCAAGGAGUCGAUCGUGUCGCGCGAGAUGACGCGGCGGUACAUGACGGACAUGAUCACGUACGCCGACACCGACGUGGUGGUCGUCGGCGCCGGCUCCGCUGGCCUCUCCUGCGCCUACGAGCUCUCCAAGGACCCCUCCGUCCGCGUCGCCAUCAUCGAGCAAUCCGUCUCCCCCGGCGGCGGCGCCUGGCUCGGCGGCCAGCUCUUCUCCCCCAUGGUACGUCCCACACUCAUUAUGAUUCUCUAAAUAUUAACUCACAUACGUACCGUGACGAUCGAUUAGAGAACAGUGUUAUAAUAUUUUCAUGAUACGUUACAGGAACACUCAUUAUGAUAUUAUAAAAAUAUCGAAUGAAUGAUUGAUAUAUUAGAAAGAGAACGGUGUUUUAAUAUUUUUAAGAACGGUGUUUUAAUAUUUUUAUUAUUGUGACACAGGUGGUGCGAAAGCCGGCGCACCUGUUUCUGGACGAGGUGGGGGUGGAGUACGACGAGUGCGAGAACUACGUGGUAGUAAAGCACGCGGCGCUGUUCACGUCGACGAUCAUGAGCCGGGUGCUGGCGAGGGCGAACGUGAAGCUGUUCAACGCGGUGGCGGCGGAGGACCUGAUCGUGCGGGGCGGGCGGGUGGCCGGGGUGGUGACGAACUGGGCGCUGGUGUCCAUGAACCACGACACGCAGUCCUGCAUGGACCCCAACGUCAUGGAAGCCAAGGUCGUCGUCAGCUCCUGCGGCCACGACGGGCCCUUCGGCGCCACCGGCGUCAAGCGCCUCCGCGACAUCGGCAUGAUCGACGCCGUGCCCGGCAUGCGCGCCCUCGACAUGAACGCCGCCGAGGACGCCAUCGUUCGCCUCACCCGCGAGGUCGUCCCCGGCAUGAUCGUCACCGGGAUGGAGGUCGCCGAGAUCGACGCCUCCCCCCGCAUGGUAUCUAUAUAUAUAUAUAUAUAAACUCUCUCUCUAUUCUAACUGCAGCAGCAGUUGGACCUCUUCUGUAAUUUUUACCGUAAUAAUUGAAGUUAAAUAUAUCAAAAUCCAAUAUCGAAUUUAUAUUUACAUAUAAUUAUAACGUAUAAUUGCAACUACGUACGAUCAAACAGUCUCUUAAUAUAGUAGGAAACAGUUUAUGAAUAGUCUUUUGUAUGUACAGGGGCCGACGUUCGGGGCGAUGAUGAUAUCCGGGCAGAAGGCGGCGCACCUGGCACUGAGGGCUCUCGGGAGGCCCAAUGCUUUGGACGGGACGUUGGAGGAGGCGGCGGCAGGGGCGCAGCCGGAGCUCGUGCUUGCGGCGUCGGAUGGUGGGGAUGUGGUGGAGGCUUAGAGACGAGGGGUGUGUUUAUGGUUUCAGUGUUUUGAUUGAUCACAGGGGAGCAGAGGAGGGUUAGGAAGAAUAAGAGGGUCUAAGCUAAGGAGGGGUGGAGUGCAACUGGAGAUAGAGAAAUGGAGUAGACUGUAAAAGAAAGUUAAAAAGACUUUCAGAAACUUUGCUGUUUGUUCAUCUUCUGCUGUCAUCAGUGUCUUGUUGUUAUCAAAAACAACCGUGUCCUUUUUCUGAUUCUCUGAAUAAAGUAAAUUAAAUGCGCUCUGCAAUAUAUAUAUGCGUGUUGUACAUUUUUUUCAUUCAUUAUUGUUUUUGUUCUUGAACAUGCAAACUGAUUUGCUUGGUUUUGAAUCUUGCUAGUAAGUGGAUUUUGGUGUUGAGCUAAGAACAUAUUAUCUAGAGCCCAACAUAUUAUUUAAACAAAGUAUCGCAACUAGUUUGAAUAUUGCCAACAAAUUAUCAUUAUUGUUAAUUUAGUAGUAAUAAUAAAGUAAUUACGAAGUGCUCUUCAAUUAGAAUUCUUGGGAAAAAAAAGAAAAAAAAAAUCAAAACUCAUUAAAGAUACUGCUGCCACGGCUUCCGAAUUCCAAAGUAUAACUUUCACCGAAGAAGCGCUAGCAAAUUUCUAGUUCAAAUUCUGACUGCUGCUCUACCAAACAAAAAAUAGGACUUCAAUUUUUUAAUAUAUAUUAUAUAAAAAAUUCUCAUCUGUGCGUAGUGUAGCUGUAUUAGAACUUAAACCAAAUUUGCACUCAACUGCAGCAAGGUUUCAUAUGGGAAUAUUCUGGGAAUGGUAAAGUACAAUUUGCAUUUAAGAGUGAGGUGAAAUACCAUUUUUUUCUGCAACUUGAAAUUCAGAAAUAACUCUAACUAAAGAUGCAAUGAUCCCUGGUCAAAUAACUCAAACUUGAGAGGUUAGUGAGGUAGUGCCACUUUACCUUGCAAAGCUGCAGCGCCGGGGCACGGCAUUUGUUAGAUUCUACACAUUAGGAUUUGUUUUCGGAAAAGCAACCGUAAAACAGUAUCAGUUUUCAACAUUUAUUUAAGAAAAAAAGCAGUGCUACUGUACACCUCGCAUAUCGGUGUAAAAUUUACACCCUAUAAUGAAAUGUACAAGUAGAAUUUUGUUUGAGGAAACUGAUUGGCUGGUUUAUUAGCAACAAGUUUAUAAAUUCACUCUUAUGUGUAACCUGUAAAAAUUCGCAAUUAACUCAGACUAAAUUAAACAACAAAAUCCCACAUUUGCAAUGUAAACAAAUUUUCAGUUCCAUACUAAGCACUACACUCUGAAAGCUGUCAGAUACUCCGCAUUUACCUGAAAAAUACAACAGAUAUGCGUAAAUUUAUACGAUCUGAAAAUAUGAAAUUGGAGAGCAACAACGUGUAAGAACAACGUAAAACCCAACCAGGAAACGUAAAACUCGAAAACAGUUUCCAGGAAGCAAUAUUACUACGAGUCCCAGUUCGGAAAUUUAAGGCAAAUUCCCAUUUCAAAUUUCCCAUGACACAAUACAACAUGAUUUAUCUUGUGCUCGAAAUAAACACAAAAUGUAACCGUGAAAAGAAGCACUCUACAUUAGUUAAACACUUUUCACUAUAUAGUUGUAUGCUCAGGAAAGAUCCAGUUGUUGUAAGCUUUUCGAAAGGGGCCCAAAGGAAUUCUAAGGUUAAACUGCAUGGUGGUACAUCAUUUUAAAACCAGAACUCAGUACGAAGGGAAACACAUUAUUCACAUAACUCGAUUGGAAUUUAGCUGGAAACAAUGCUUGGCCAGGAACUCUUUUGAAUUCGCAGAAGUGGAGCAUACAAGGGCUUGAGUAGUGGAUAAAAGGAAAAAAAAAGAAGAAAUCCUCGAACAAAGUUAUGGACUGUGUAUAGCCACCUCAAGGGUUAUUAAAAUAAGGGAGGAGGGAGACAGCAUAUAUGACUGCAAUACAAAGGGCUCUCCUUAUAUGACCACCUCAAAGGUGAAUGCUAUAUCAAUGCUGCAUUUGCUCAGUAAAAAAGAAGCACAGAAAGAUAAGAGCAUGAGCUUCUCAUGAAUUGGCUUCUCUAUAGCGUAAAAAGAUACAGUUUGAAAGUCAAAACGUUGCAAGUGUAAUUAAUGAAUAAAAGAUAAGUUUCAACUCAUUCAUAGAUAAUAUAAUAUGUUCCAAUUGUUAAGAGAUUAGAAAGUCGUAGUUGAAGGCUUGUCUAAAGCGUUGAACUAAGAAACAAGCCGUAAGAUAUGUGUCUGGUAAGCAAUAAAUGAUUCAAAUCUGACUGGCUUCCCUGUGCUACACUAGUUAUAGGAACUAAAGUAUCUUAAAAAGUAUAGAACACAAACUGCAGCUAAAAUAGGUUUAGGGUUGAGCUCAAACAAACAGCGAGAAGCAAUAAGGCAGUGUCUAAUUGAAAAUAGAUCCAAUAAAGAGACUUACAACACAAACUACCAAGAAAUCAUUAUGCCUUUUCAAGCUCUAUUCUAGGUAAGACAUAGAUUGAUUGAAUUAAUACCCCACAGCCACAUUUCUAUGUUACCGAAAGGUAUAACCUAUGAAGGUUUGCUAUACAGUUUUUAUUUAAAAAUUUAGUUCACCAUGAACAAUAUGGAUCCUAAGCAAUAAUCUACAAUGUGGCAAUUGUGUGCGAGCAGCAAGCUGUCAAAUUGGCCUUUCCUGUGAAAUGGUGCAGAUGCAGGUGCAUACUUAUAAAAGUCAUCUAAAAUACGAUAAAAUAUUUCAGAACAUAAAAGAAUAACUAAGAAGGAAAAAUAAAAUUUUGAAAAGCAAUAAAAUUUUGAAGAACAAAGUAACAUAAUCAAGAUCAUACUGAAGUUUUCAAUUAUCUAAUGCAAAAAGAAAGAUAACAUUUGUGAGAGCACGGCCAUAAAAAAAAAAAAAAGAUAACAUUUUUCUUUCAUAUCUCACAGCAUUUAUAGCAUCUUAAACGUAAAUUUAGAUCAAAGUUCUCUCACUACCUGUGUUCUCAACUCAAAACCUCCUCUAUCCAUCGAUGAGGACCAUGACAUAAACCAUAACACCGAAAACUAGAACAAGAUUACUCCACUUCAGAUGUGAGCAUGUAUCUUCGAGAAAUGUCAUUACAUUUCUAAAGCAAUAGUCAAUACUAAUAUUCAAUAGAUCUGAAAUAAGAUAAAUAUUAGAACAUAGACCUUCAAUCGAAGAAAGAGAGAGAAGCUACUCCAUACCUCCCAAACUAUGACAAAGAGGAAGAAGACCCUUCUUCCUCCGCUCCUUCAGCCGGAUCAUCUCCAACUGUUGGGCCAGAAGGCGUGAAUUCCAUAUCCGGUCUUCCAAUUAUCCAAAUGGAUCACCUUCCUCACAGCCCAAUAAGCUAUCACCAUGGCCACUAGCAUGAAGGUCCUCUGCACCGCCAAGCUCCUGAUGCGCACCAACACAUGCGUCACGAAUGCGAUCACCAGCCCCACGAUCGUGUACAGGAACCCCACCGCGAAACCCUCUGCUCCGAGCUGCAUCCCUGAUCCCUGGUAGAAGAAUAUCAGCCGGUCCGGAUUGUUCCGAUCCCUCAGAAACAUCGGCGUCUUCCGGAUGAUGCCGUGCAUCGCGCCGGACACGCUGAAGAAGUAGACGAAGAUCGCGGAGGCCAUCCAGAGCUUGCGAUCGUGGAAGAUCGUGUCGCCCUGGAGGAUACGCUUGAUCACGAAUGGCGAGAGGAUGAGGAGGAGCACGCCGAGGGCGACGAUCUGGCCCCGGGAGAGCGGGGGCGGGCGCUGGAUCGGGCCGAGGGAGAGGCCGGUGCGGGACGCGACGAACUCCGCCAUGGAUUCGGCGCCAGCGGCGAAGUUGGAUUGGUCCAUGGGCUCGGAGUCGCGGAGGGAUCCGGCGUUGGGGGUGACGAUGCGGAUGUGGGGGAGGGAGUUGACGCCGAAGAGGGAGAAGGAGGAUUGGGACUCCCCGAACUCGAGAUCGGCGAAGAAGAGGCGGGAGGAGGAGGGGUUGUGGGCGGAGAAGGAGGCGGAGAGGAGGGCGAACUCGGAUCGGAGCUCGCGGAGGUGGAGAUCGGGGUUGGAGCGGAGAUGCGCGGCGUCGAAGAAGACGAGGGAGGAGAGGAAGCGGGACACGGCGGCGUCGUUGAAGUGGAUCACGCCGGAGGGAGAGCGCGAUCGGAGGGUCUCAAGCUCCGCCACCAGAUCGUCGGAGGAGGGAUCGGCGGAGGCGAGGAAGAGGAGGGGUACGAGGAGGAGGAGGAGGAGGAGGAGGAGGAGGGGUUCGGGCGCCAUUAUUGAGGUUUUCGGAGAGCGGGAUCGAUGUGGCUUUAGGGUUUUGAUGGGAGAAGCAGAGUGGGGGAGGAGAAAUGUGGCUCAGAGAAGAAGCGCGGUGGAUAGGAUGGGAGCAUAGAGAGUCAAAAAGCGCUCUUGGAAGAAGCUGCAGCGGGUGCUAGAAGCAGAAAUUCUAAAUGGGCCUACCUGGGCCCAAACUAGAUGAAGAGCCUGGCUCUCAGAGACCGGCCCGGUAGUCCCCUAAACCGUGGGCCCUGUUUUCACCGUUAGCCAUAGACCGGCCCACUAAACACUCCCGAAUGAACGGAAAAAACAUGACGGUCCACAGUGACGUGGUACUCCUCGUCCACCGAAGAAUGUAUCGUCCUUAAGGCGUGCGGCGUGGCCAUGGCCGCACCCACUUGUUCUUCGGAUCUUCUCUUCUAGACGCACAUAGCUAUGCACCUAUUUCACCACGUCAUCUACACACCGCACCCUCAUCUCCGUCCAUUUUAUUAUUUUUUGAAUCGCCACGGUCGUGGCAUCUUCGGUGCAGAAUUGACGUGGUGCACUAUGUGCAAGGAAACUUUUCUUCCAAAUGGGCCGGCGCCUUGGUUAUUUAUUUAUUUAUUUAUUUAUUUAUUGAUGAUUAUUAAUAGGCUCACCUAAUUCGACCGUUUGCUAUGGCAGCGGUCGAAGAAGCCCAUUUCGUGCAAGUCACGUCGGAACAGCUCACCUCGAACACGUGUUCGGUUUUGAUUGGCUUUACUUUUCUUUGUGGUUGGGUCUACUGUCCGGGUUCGACGUAUGCGGACAGUAAUCUCACCUAUAAAUCUCCCCUUCCCCGACCUUUCCUCUCCCUCAUCCCAUCGCUUCGAAAACCCUAGAAACAGAGUUCCGAGAUCCCAAUCUCCUUCCAAGGUGCUUCCUCUCUCUCCCCUCUCGAUCUCUCUCGCUUCCAUCUCUUGUAGCUUAGAUUUAUCUUAUUCGGGGAGUUUUGCUUGUGAUUUUUGGAUCAAUUUCUUUAUUUUUGUUUCUCCUCUUUGUGAUCUGAUUUGAUUUGGUUUCUCCCUCUGCGGUCGAUUCAACAGAUGCAGAUCUUCGUGAAAACCCUCACCGGAAAGACGAUCACCCUCGAGGUGGAGAGCUCCGACACCAUCGACAACGUUAAGGCCAAGAUCCAGGACAAGGAGGGGAUUCCCCCGGAUCAGCAGCGGCUCAUCUUCGCCGGGAAGCAGCUCGAGGACGGCCGAACCCUAGCCGACUACAACAUCCAGAAGGAGUCGACCCUCCACCUUGUGCUCCGUCUCCGCGGCGGUAUGCAGAUCUUCGUGAAAACCCUAACGGGGAAGACGAUCACCCUUGAGGUGGAGAGCUCCGACACCAUCGACAAUGUGAAGGCCAAGAUCCAGGACAAGGAGGGGAUUCCCCCGGAUCAGCAGCGUCUCAUCUUCGCCGGGAAGCAGCUCGAGGACGGCCGCACCCUCGCCGACUACAACAUCCAAAAGGAAUCCACCCUUCAUCUUGUCCUCCGUCUCCGCGGCGGUAUGCAGAUCUUCGUCAAAACCCUAACGGGGAAGACGAUCACCCUCGAGGUCGAGAGCUCCGACACCAUCGACAACGUGAAGGCCAAGAUCCAGGACAAAGAGGGCAUCCCCCCGGACCAGCAAAGGCUCAUCUUUGCCGGGAAGCAGCUCGAGGACGGGCGCACCCUCGCCGACUACAACAUCCAAAAGGAAUCCACCCUCCACCUCGUGCUCAGGCUGAGGGGUGGGAUGCAGAUCUUCGUCAAGACCCUAACGGGGAAGACGAUCACCCUCGAGGUCGAGAGCUCCGACACCAUCGACAACGUGAAGGCCAAGAUCCAGGACAAGGAGGGCAUCCCCCCGGACCAGCAGCGUCUCAUCUUCGCCGGGAAGCAGCUCGAGGACGGACGCACCCUCGCCGACUACAACAUCCAGAAGGAAUCCACCCUCCACCUCGUCCUCCGCCUCCGCGGUGGCAUGCAGAUCUUCGUCAAGACCCUCACCGGCAAGACGAUCACCCUCGAGGUCGAGAGCUCCGACACCAUCGACAAUGUCAAGGCGAAGAUCCAGGACAAGGAGGGGAUCCCACCGGACCAGCAGCGUCUGAUCUUUGCAGGUAAGCAGCUCGAGGACGGCCGCACCCUCGCCGACUACAACAUCCAGAAGGAAUCCACCCUUCACCUCGUGCUCCGCCUCCGCGGUGGUAUGUAAGCUUCCAACGUGCUAUCGAUGGGGUCCCUGGCAAUUAUCCGCGCUCUUCGCGCCUGCGUCCUGUUCUAUGAAUUAUCUGAUUGAGUCUCGUCUCGUGUUCUUUGCUGUGGGUCUAUAAUAUACUCUAUAUGUCGUUUGCUUUGUUCUCUGUGGUCAGUUGUCUGCGAACUUUUCUACUAUGUUCUUGUGGUGGUUUCUAAUAAAUAAAGAUAAUGCCAGGUUAUUGUGUGCUAUGCUAUAUCGUACUUUCGUGCUUUGGUAUUUCAUAUACAUAAUAUGGUUAUGGUAUUGAUUAUCUAGCUUGUGCUGAUUGAAUGCAACCUUCUAAGGUCUAGGUAAAUCUAAUGUGGUGACUGGAUUUUGUGCUUCUCUAUGCAGAGGAAAUAAAUGAGUGUGUUUACAGCUAUACCUGUGCUUUAUAUUAGUUCGAUAUUUACAUGAUUACAUAGCUUUUUUGUAAGGUGGAGUUUAGCUUCUGUAUUUUGUUUAGUUAUGAUCAAUCCAAAUAUUUUUCUUUCUCAAGAGAACUCAUUGAAUCUUUGGAGGACUCGAAAUCAUUAUCUACUGUGCAUUGAUUUGGAGUUAGGAUGGUGUGUGAAGCAACAUUUGAUCUUAGUUUUUCUUAGUUCAAUGUAUCGAUCAAAUAUCACUCAUCCUAUUUGGCACGGUUUGGUUCGUUGGUUCAAUUGCUGUGAAUCGGCAUAACAUGGUUGAAGGUAAUAAUGUUGGCAUGACACCAUCAUAUCCAUGGAACGUAAACAGAGCUACUUUAAUCCAUGGAACGUAAACAGAGCUAUUUUAAUACCACUGAUUGUUUGAUUUUGUUAAUAUUCGAAUUCAGUUGGUCGUUUUAUGGAAAUUUGUUAUCUGGACAACUGUUGGUAAUACCAGAUUCCUUGUCUUUUAUUACUUCUUGUAUUGUGUCUGCCGAUUCUCUUUGUAGGCAGAUAUUACAUUGUUUUAGUUGCUUCCAACUGCAAUCUUUAUUCCUUACAAACUCCUCAUGACUUCGUGCCAUUGUAUAUACAUAUCAAGUACUUUCAUGUUGUCUCUUUGAUUUAUAGUUAUCAAUUUUAUUCAAUUUCGCAUGUUUCAGUUGAUCUUAAUUAAGAGUUAAACUGUGUGCUGUGUGCUUCAUGUUGUCUCUUUGAUUGAUUCAUAGUUAUCAAUUUUAUUCAAUUUCGCAUGUUUCAGUUGAUCUUAAUUAAGAGUAAACUGUGUGCUGUGUGCUUCAUGUUGUCUCUUUGAUUGAUUCAUAGUUAUCAAUUUUAUUCAAUUCGCAUGUUUCAGUUGAUCGUAAUUAAGAGUAAAGUGUGUGCUGUGUGCUUUGUGUUGUCUCUUUGAUUUAUAGUUAUCAAUUUUAUUCAAUUCACAUGUUUCAGUUGAUCUAUGAGCUUUCUCGUCUCUAUUCCUUUGUAACUUUUGUUCAUUAGACGACCUCUCUUUCGCCCCUUACAUGAGCAUAAUUAGUGGUUAUCAUACACCACCCCUCAAAAGGGGUGUAUAAGUAGGCAUUACUCAAAUCUAGGAUUCUAAACAUGUAAAUUGCAUUAUUGGCUCUUGAACUUUUCAGAGAGUUUAAAUUUUAUUCCCUGUGAUACAAAAUCAGAUGUGGAUAGUAUUGAUUCAUUUAGAUUUUAAUUUUAAUUUUAAUUUUUAAUUUUUGAAAUUUUAAUUUUUUUUUCUAAUUUUUAAAAUUAUUCUGUUUGUUAAUACAUCUUAGUCAUUCUUUAAAAGAUUUUUAUAAUUUAUUAUGUGAAAUAAAUUUUUAAAAAUUAGGAAUAUAGUUUAGAUUUCUGUUUUUUAGAUUUGUUCGGAUUAGAAAAGAUUUUUAAGAUCGUGAAAUUUGAUUUGGAUAAGAAUUAUAGAUUUAUGCCUUGUAAUUGGAGGUUGAGGAUUACGAUGAAUUAGUUUGGACUUUUGAUUUGGCACCUGUCGUCAUAUAUUUUUUUUUGUGGCCAAUAUUUUUUUAAAAAAAAUUUUAUUUUCUAUUUCCUUCCUUUCUUUCCUCAUUUUUUUUCUUUUUUUUUGUUUUUUUAAAAUUUUCUUCUAAACUUGCUUUUUAAAUUUUCUAAAAUAAAUUUCCAAAAUUUUCUGACCUUUUUUCAUUUAUCGGCUACGUUUUUAAUCUUCUUUUAAUUUUCUUAUUUUUUUCAAAAUAUUACAGAGUAAAAAAAUUUCAGCCGCACUUCUCUUUUGGAUUUUGUUUUCUUCUUUUUACUCCGAAAAUUAGUUUAAAAUUUUUAAAAUUUUUAAUCUUUUUUAAAAGUGAAUAUUAUUUUAAAAUUUUUAGAAAAUUUUAAAUUUAGUUUUGAAUAGAUUUUGGGUUCAUCACUAGUACGAUAGGUUGUAAUUUUUUCAGUUUGUUCUCUAUUACCCUCACUUUCUAAACAUCGAGUUUUAUUUUUCAUUUGUAAGUUGCAGUGUUAGAAUUGAAUUUUAUUUUUCAUUUGUAAGUUGCAGUGUUAGAAUUGAAUUUUCAAAAAUGUUUAGGAGCAAUUUGAGUUAGCUACAUAGUUGGAGUUUGAAACCCUUCUGAUUGAACUGGGUUAAGAUUUGCAUGUUCGCUUUCAAAAUCUAAUCUUUCAAAUGUAUGAUUCUGAAAUUUGUCAUUCUUGUGUGAAUCUGGAUUUACAUGUGAAUAUCUAAAGAAAGCUACAGUGCUUUUGCUGCAGCCGGAAGCAGCAAUUAUCAUUUGAAUUUCGACAGCAAGAGUUUCAAUUUGACACCACUAUAAAUUAAAGCCACUCUUACACCACUUUAGAUUAUCUUGGUUUGUGACCCAAAGCUUAGCCUUCCUAUGCUAAAAUGCUCAAUGGUGUCUAUGUUCUUACAUGUUAUUUUCUUAAAAACUCGUGUAUAUUAUUUAUUUAUUGCGGACCGUAAAGUCGUUUUUUUUAAAAAAAAAAAUAAUAAAUUUGGCUGAAAGUAUGAAUCAGUUAUGAACUAUCAAGUACUUUACUAAUUACGCUAAGAACAGUGGGUAAAAUACAUAUAUACUUUUGAUCUCAUUUAUAUUGAAUAUAAUAUGUUUUCAAAUUCAGGUAACCUCUCUCUCUCUAUAUAUAGGGCUAGGCUCCUAUGCUUUCGAAAGUACGGAAGGUCCCGUGCUUGUAAGUUGUUUUUGAUGAUGGGACAUCCAAUUCGGCUAUCGGUUCCGUUAAACUUGAUCUAUGCUAUUGGAACUAUCUAGAAACCAAAUGUCAUAAUUUUUUGAUUUCGUUUGUCUAGUGGACGAGUAGCCUCAAAAUGAACGGCUGAAAAUAAAAAUCUCAUAAAAAACAGUGAUAAAGAAUUCAAAUUUUAAAUUAGAAGUAUUGAUCUUACUACUUAUGUUAAGUAGAAUUUUCUAUUAAAUUUUCAUGUAAUUUGGAUACUUCUACACCGUUGAACUUAAAAAUGUGCCACAUCGACCGUUAAAAUAGUCAAUUUUUAGACCUUUUGAUCGCUUAGUAAAUGAUGUCAAAAAAAUCUAAAAUUUGGUUUCUAGAUAGUUCCAAUAGGGUAAAUCAUACCUAACGGAGCCGAUCAUCGAAUCGAACGUCCUAUCAUCGAAAACAACUUAUAAGCACGGGGCCUCCCAUACUUUCGAAAGUACGGAAGACGGACUCUAUAGAGCUAGGCUCCUAUGCUUUCGAAAGUACGAGAGGCCCCGUGCUUGUAAGUUGUUUUCGAUGAUGGGACAUCCGAUUCGGCUAUCGGUUCCGUUAAAUUUAAUCUAGGCUAUUGGAACUAUCUAAAAAUCAAAUUUCAUAAUUUUUUAAUUUCGUUUGUCUAGUGAAAUAUAUAUAUAUAUAUAUAUAUCACGACAAAAUCAACAGCCGUAAUAUUUCUCAUCUCUCCUACUAAGGUUUUUCAAAACUUAGACCCGGUAGUUUUGGAGUGUAAUCUCCACGCGUUAUUUCCAUUUUUUGACUCAUUCUUUUCUAUUUAUCCACCUAUGAAAAUAUUCUCUUUCGAAUUAUUUUAGCCAAUGAAAUUAAACUUAUCAUUUCGAAUUACAAAAAAAAAUUACAUCAUGUACGGUAAAAAAAUUAAUUAAUUAAUUUUUUUAUUUUAAUAUAUAACAUUACAUUCCGUAUACGAGUCAAAAAACAAUAUAGCUUAAUAAUAGCAAAUGACAUUAAGUAAUUUUAAUUCAGUUGAUUAAAUUAUUAAAAUUUAAACAUAUAAAUAAAAAAUUAUGGGUGUUUGUUAUAAAAAAUAUCUGGGAAAUAUCCCCAUGUUUAAUUCCUCCUUAAAAUACUUUUCACAACUAGGGUUUCUACUUUACGAUAUACACACUCAAAAACCAAAACCAAAAAAAAAGAAAAAAGAAAAAAGAAAAAAAAAAAAAAAAAAAAAAGAAGAAAAGAGGUUGUAAAAUGAGGGUGGGCGUAGAGAACCUCAUGGGGAGGUUCUUCUAUGCGGACGUGGAGGAGAAUGCGACGGUGGGGACGCUGAAGAGGGAGAUCGCGACCGUCGAUGCGACGCUGCACGAGAGCCGCUUGAUCCUGAUGCUCCCUACCGGCCGUCUGAUGACGGAUGAACGGCGCGCGCUGGCCGAGUACGGUGUGCUCGACGGGUCCAUCGUGUACCUCUUCUUCACCUCCGCACCAAUCGAUCCCCAUUGGCUCGCUUAUUUUCAGGAUUUUUUUUAGUUUUUUUUUUUAAAUAGAGAGUAAUAAUGUUUUUUAUUAUUAUUACUAUGAAUUUUUGGCUUUUUAUUUUUAUUUUUAUUUUAUUUUUUGGGGUAUAAAGAGAUUACGUAGUUGCAAAUUAUUGUAAAAUUGAUUUGUUACGUAUCUCAAAUGGAAAAAAAAAAGAAAAAAGGAAAGGUGAAAAUAUAGGGGUUUGAUUUAUUUGAUCUUCAAACUUAGCAGGAUAUUUAUACUUUCUCUCUGUACUCAAUUUCUUAUUUAUAAUAUUUGUUAUUAAUUACCAUUCGAUUAUAUCAACAUCCAUGGUUAUUUUAUUUUAAUUUAAAGCUGAAAAUAAAAAAUCUCGAAAGACUCAAUAUAUAAUAUAGAACAAAAUUGAAAAAAAAAAUUGAGGGACUAAACAUGCAAUAUAAAAACAUUAGUUCAUUUUAGUUUAUUAAGAAGGGUUAAAAAAUAAAGUUGUGUUGAAAUACUAUUAGUAGCAAAUGAAUUUUGUUGUUAUUAGUAGCAAACAUUAGUUCAUUUUUUACUUUGAUUUUAAAAUCGGUAAAUAUAAAUAGAGUUAAAUUAGUCGACGGCACUUUUACCGUCUUAAGUGUAAGUGACGAAAAACUUGAUAGUCGAUAUCAAAGGUUUCAAGUAUGAAGCUUGAUUGCUUCACAUUUUCAGCUAAAUUUAUUUUUUCAAACAAUAGAUCAGAUAUGAUCAAUAUAUUACCAUUCUCUCUUAAAAAAAAAAAAAAAGUUUACUUUGGGAAACUUCACUAUACAAACACAUACCUAGUUUUGACCCCGCACGCUAUAAUUAUUCAAAACUGUGCAAAUGUAGUGCACAUGUUACUGUUCAAAACAGGGCUUCAGAUAAAAUCAUCUUCGAUCAUCUGGUCCCGUUCUUCUUACCCAGACUUCUAAAAAUAUCUAUAUCUAAAAAUAUAUGUAUAUUAAUCCGAUAUAUGAGGUACGAGCUCUAAAUUUAUUUAAGUUCGUACGUGUGGUAACUUGAACAUCUAAAAUUAGAUCACUUGCCUACGAGAUUACCAGUGAUUUGGUAAUUUAUGAAUUUUUUUUCAAAAGUUUUAACUGGUAGUUAUUUGGACACGCGAAAACCCCUCUUCAUUGCGCACAUGAUAGAAAAAAUUGCUGUCCCCUGCAACUUUAAUGACGAGUAUAUCGCAUUUAAGCUUUGUCCAUUGUCAUGUUGGAAUUAAUUAUAUAUCGCUAUUUAUCUUCAAAGAGUUACCGCAAAGGUCUGAAGUUCGAGCCUAGUGUUGAUAUUCUGAACAGUUGUUCUAAGAUGUUAAGACCAAUCUCAAGAUUUGUUUGGCUCACCUAUUUUAGGAUCUGGAAUCAAAUUGAAAUAGUCUGAUUUCGAUAAUAUUUGUUUGUUUUAUAGGAAUCGAAUUUUAAUUCUUAUUCUAUUCUGAAAUGAAAAUAAUCCAAUUCAUUAUGAUCCAAACUUAAACCAAAUAUUUUUGGAUGAAUUGUCAUCUCAUUUUUCAUGCUAAUAUUGCAAUUCAAUUUUAUUUUCCAAUUCCAUUCUAAUCAUAGACCAAACAUGCCUUCAAACUAUUUUCUGUUAAACUGAUACAUAUUUUUGGUAGUGUUACCAUAUAUAUUACAUGCCAUAUAUAUACCAUAUAAUAUAUAUAUAUAUAUACUACUAUUUAUAUUAUAUAUAUAUGGUAACAGGCAGUAUGAUAUAAUAUCCAAUUUAAGUUAUUGUUCCUUCAAGAUCCUUAUUUUGAUUCUUACGUUUAUUAUUUCAUAGCUAAUAUUUCCGCUUCAAAAGUUAUUAUUUCAUAGCUAAUUUAAAUUAUUAGACCCCUCAUUCCUACAUAAGAUGUAGGGACUAUCAUUAUUUAGAAUAGUUGGUUAUUUAUUUGUUUUAUUUUAUUUUUUUAGAUGUUGGUUUUGUUUAAAAGAGUUAUCCUACGGGUAUGAGUUGUUCUAUAGUGUGUUAAGACUAAAUUAAGACCACAUCAAUCCUAUUGGAUAGAUAUUUACAUCUCUUUUGUUUUAUCUUCAGUUAAUGUGCAUUGUAGCAUUACAUAGUAUUUCUAAAUUAUUGCAUAAUAAAUCAUUCUUUUGAGCUUAAUUUGAGUGCCAUAAAAAUUGGGAGUGCUCGAUCUUCAGGUGUGAACUUCAAAAAGAAAAAAGAAUAAUGAAAACGAUAGAAGAGAUAGCGAGUACAGUUCCAGCGUCCUUAGAUUUGACCGAUGAGAGCGAAAUCUUAACCAUAAGAUCAUGUCAUUAGAAGAUUAGUUUAUGCAAAUCGUGGUAUAACAACCUCCACACAACCAGAUUUCUAUUGUUCUUUAUAGAAAAUUUAUGACACAAUCAGAUCUCUACAAAAUCUGCAGAUUAGUAACUAAUGUGGUGGACCAAAGUUUACAUUGAAAGUGGUGGACCAAAGUUUACAUUGAAAAUUAAUUAAAUUAAGUUUAUGGGAGAGAUUCUCAUAGCUGGGAGAGUGGGGAUCAUCUACGCACACCCCCACCCCCUCGUACGUACGCGCAUAUGUUGCAAAAUUUACGCCUAAGGCUUUGGAGAUGCCCACGUGAUUUGUCGACCCACAUUAUGCACCUUUUUAUGGUUUUUUGGACCACGACACAUGACUCAGCAUAUGUCACGCGUAUAAUUAAAAAUUUAAAUAUCGUGACACGAGAUAGAACGGUACAAUAUAUAUAUAUAUAACACUAUAUCAAUAUAUGUUAGUUAUAAAAAAAUAUAUAUACUGACAUAUAACGGUAAAAUAUUCUAAUUAAUUAUUAUAUAUUUUUAUCAAAUAUUUUAAAAUUUAUUGAGAAAAUUAUAUAUUAAUUUUUUUAAAAAAAUUUUUGAACUGUGUUAUCGGCACGGAAGCUGUAUGUAAUGCGGCCCAUACCAACGGACAUUUAAAUUCUUACUUACAAUAGCCGAAAAAGUUUUUUCUAUAACAGAUAUGCUACGUACGUACGCAAUAUUAAUUUAUAUUUUGUGCUUUAUAAAGCUCGAUUAAUCUCAAUAUAAUAUAAUGAUUUAAUGAUCCAUAUAAAAUUCAUACUUUGAGCAGUGAAAAUUAAGUCAAAGAGUUCGAAGUUUAAUUAAAAGGUUUAGAAAGAAAAGAUUUUGUUUGCAUACCGUUUUGCAAAAUAGAAUAUCUUUAUGAAAUAUAUGUUACUUAGAUGAUUUUCUCCGGGCACAAAAUGAGAUUUGAGAAAUUAUUGUAUGCAAAACCAUAAAUUUAUCUUACAGCAUAUAUAGCCUUUAAGUUCAAAUUCAGAUGACUCAAAUUAAAUAAAAUAAAAAAACCUAUUAAAUAUAACUAUAACAUAUACUGUAAAAAUAAUGAUUUUUACAAUGUUGACAUGUUUUUUUUUCUUUUGAGUAAUAACCCCCAGGGACUUUUAUUCAAGAAAAAAUAAUGUGGGCAUGUUUGGUGUUGUAGGUGAUCAUGUAAUGACUUGUAUUUAGAUAUUAUGUUAACUAUCUUUAUGGUUCAAGGGCCCUGUGUAUAUAUUGCUGCUCAUGCAAUAAUUUACACACAAACACAAAGAGAGAGAGAGGAUAAUAUAUGGAGUUGGUUACAGUAGAGGUGUAGCAGGAUGUCAUGUGAUAUGCUGGGGCUCUCAUGAGUGUGGAGAGAGAGAUAGAGAGAGAGAAAGAGAGAGAUCAUGGGUUAGAGAGUGAGAGAGCAAUGUCUCAUUACUUCCAUGUUGGUGGUUUAUCUCCACCAUAAUGUAUGUGUGGUACUUGUUCAUCUGUCUACCUCUUAUCUUAAUUACCUUCUCUCUCACUCUCUCUUCUCUUACAUUUUCAUUUCUCCUGCCAAUGUGUUUGCAUCUCCUCUUCCUUUCAUAAACCAUCUCCACCCUUUCCAGAUAAGUAUUAUAUAAAUCAGUUUAUAGUUAUUAAAAAAAAUGUUUACAUAUAUAUCUUAGUUAGUUCUAACACUUAAAUAUAAGCAUAUUCCUAUUUCUUAUUUUUUUUCAAAAGAAUUUCGGUACCAGUGGCAUAGGCUCUUGUCGAGAGUUUGUAGGUGGAGUGUGACAUGUUGUGUACUAUGUCAUGCCAAUAUAUGCCGAUAAUAAAAAUACCUGUUCAUCUGCCGACAAAUUAUGUUGAUAUUUUAUGGCAUAAAAUAUUUAUUUUUUACACCAGUAUAUUCUAAUUAGUUAUGCACUUUGUUAAAAUAGUUAUUUGCUAUUUCAAAAACAGAGUAUGUUGAGAUGCUGAAAUAUAGGCACUUAAAACCUGGUUUCUUCGUCAUGAGCUUCAGUGCAUGCAUGUACCAAAAACUUAAGUAAUUAAAUUAACUAGCUAAUUAAUAUAAGUACCAAUUUAGCUCCAAGUGUUUCAAGAAGCGCACUUCAACUUUAUUUUAGGGCACAAUAUGACUUCUCAAGAAAGAAAAGGAUAGCAAAAUAAUAAGUGUUUAAUAUUUAAAGUGUAGUCAUUUUCAAGUUAAAAAUUUUAAUUUGACGCAGACAUUUAACCAUUGUCGGCAAAUUAAGAUCAGAGGCUCAAGCAUGGCUUUAGGGAUCGAUUAAUCAACAAUAUUAAUCAUUAAUUUGUAGGUAAAGUAGAGGCAAAAGGGAGGUGUUUGAAAUGUGUGACAUAAUUCAUUAAGAGUGUCACGUUCCUAAUUAAUCUAUUAAUAAGACCGUAGAGCUAAUUAUAAGCUAGCCGUACGUGUUAUCUUUCGGUCCAUUUUGUGAUUGCAUUUGCGUGUCCCACAAAAAUCUGAUCACCAAUCACUUACCGAUUCGAUUCAUUGCAUGCGAUUCUAUGAUUGCUAAACCAGUUUUGGCAUAUAUUGCGUACGUAUGUACGUAGCUAGGUAUUAUUUUUUCCAACUAAAAUGAUUAGGUUUCAUAAAUCUGAUCUGUCUUUUUAAAUUGAUUUGUACGCGAUUGAUUCUGUAGUAACAAUAAAUAACAAUAUAUAUAUAUAUAUAUGUAUUCAUGAUCUCGCUGCUUGCACAGGGUGGGAGGCGUGGACAAAGCGUGUGGAGAGACGUGGCCAUACCACAAUUGCAUAUAUAUGAGCCGAGACACAAUAUUGAGCUCUCAACGUUUCCUUAGAACCCUCCACACAUCUACACAAGUGCCAUCUCUCUUUGGUCCCCCCUAAACCAAAAUACCCACGCGAGCUUCUUAACUCUCUCUCUCUCUCUCUCUCUAGAUCUCUCUCUCUCUUGAGUAUCUUUGCAUUGCUUUUCUCACUCUAUUUAAGGUAAAUAUAUGUAGAGAGAAUGAGGAGAUAAUCUAAGAGAGAGAGAGAGAGAGAGAGAGAGAGAGAGAGAGAGAGAGAGAAGGAGAGGGAAUUGUAAUAGAGUGGAGGCAUUUGGGAGCUUGGUAGGAAUUUUUCCACUGGGGUCAGGUACUAAUUAAUCCUACAUUUUAUAUGUUGAGCAUAAACAUUAAUAAUACUAUCUUUUUAAUUAAUUGAUAGCUUAAAUUUUUUUACGAUACGUGGUUGUUUCUGUUAAUUAUUUUAAUAUGAUGUCAGAACAAGAGAUUUUGAGUUCGAAUCCCAUUCGACUUGUUAUCCAUUAUAGUGGAAGCUUUUGGAGGUAACUGAUUAUUUCGUUUUUUUUUUUUACAUUAUUUUGUUUAAUUCCAUGCAUAUAAUAACCCUAAAUUUUAAUGACCAUGUUUGUGUCGUAAAGAUUAAUUUUCCAUCCUUUUCGACUAAAUUGAUUUUUCAUUUUUUUAGAUACUUUAGAUACUAUGGUAUCAGAGAAUCUAGUCCUAAUUAAUUAAUUAGCCCACUUCUACAUUAUUUUAUAUAACAUUUUUAUUUAUAAAAAUAAGAUAAAAAGAUAGUAAGAAUAUGCGUAGAGGAGUCGUGAUAAUGCGCACUACAACAGAAUUAGGUUAUAGGGAUACAUGUUUGGGACACUUUUGAGUAAGUGUUCCAUUUAUACUAAAACUUAAAAACGCAUAUACUAAUACCUAAAUAUAAAGCCCAAUCCAACCAAAAAUAAAAGAUUACUCUACUCAACCCACCACACCCAGUCCAUUUGGUCCGAUUACAAACAGAAAAGAAAAAAAAAAGAAAAAUCAAUUACCAUCUUCUCUUCUCUCUUCACUCAAUCCACUGAAAUUCUAGACGAAGAGCCUUUACUGUCGUCCUCCUCCGCCACCGCAGCCAACGAGAUAGAGUUUUGGCGGUUGCUAAAUGCUUAAAUAAGUGUUGGUAAAUUAGUAGCACUCUUUUAGGUUAUAGCGACACUCUUUAACUGUCACUAUAUACCUAGCGACCCCACAUAUAGCAACACUUUUUAAAAGUGUCGGUAAUUUUAGCUAGUAGCACUUUUUUGACAUGUGCCUAUAUUUAAAAGUGUCGCUAUAGACCGUUUUUGUUGUAGUAGCGGUAGAUUUGACUCGGACGUUGGUCCAAAAACAUAGAGAUGUAUUGUAUGCUGGUGCAUUGUCAUCGUCAAUAAGGAGUAAAAAUUAAACUCUUUUUUUAGUGGGCACAUAUGUUCAAAUCCCCAUCUCCCCCCCCCCUAUAUUCAUUUUUUGUCACCUACAAAAACGAGUCAACUAAUUUGUACUUUUAACUGACCGUCCCUAGAGCAAGUGACAAAGGGCUCGGUGGUUAGUACCGGAGACCCAAGUUCGAAUCCUAAUUAAUUCACAUUUUCAGUUAAGUUUAUUUCUAAAUGAAAUAAAUGAAACGGAUAGCGUGCUACCUAUCUCUCUCAAAAAAAAAAAAAAAAAAAAAAAGUUGUACCUUUCCUAGCUUUGCUCCUUGUAUUAGCCAUCACACUAAUUAAGGAGAUAAACAUAGGCAUCUUUAAAUUUUAAUAUUGGUCGAUAAAGAUUUGACCAAAUUCAUUGAAUUUGAUAAUUAACUUGUUUUAUGAAAAAUUAAUGGCUAUUACAUGAAUCAGCUGAAACUAUAGUCAAUUUGUUUUAAGCUCCAAUUUAUUUAGGGCUUCUAUAUAUACCCAAUUUAGCUAUAUGAACAUCAAGAGUUUAUAUAUUAGUUAAAAAAAGAUACUUUAUUUAUGUAGAACAAAUUAAUCAACAAUUAUAUAUGUUACUACUAUAUCACAUGGAAUAACGCACCCUCUUGGUCAUGCUGUAAAACACGUAUGUUGUACGUAUCGAACGAGCCACGCCUACAAUUGUGCUUUGUUUUCACCUACCAACUUGUAUAUAUUGAUAACGUUGUGAUCUCAAUCUCCUCUUCUUGUUCAAGGUUACUAGAGAUCAAAACACAGCUGCAACCAAUGGACUCGGACCCACCACUUCUCUCCACGUACCGCGCUCUCUUCGACGCCCGCGAUCGCGAACGGAUCGAUCCCGAUGCGAUCGCCUUGACCGCAGCAUCGGACGAGUGUGAGCUUCCCCUCAUCGAUCUCGACCGUCUAAACGUAGCUGGUCACGACGGUCGCGACGCGACGGAGAAGUGUAAGAGGGAGAUAGUGGAGGCUGCCUCUCAAUGGGGCUUCUUCCAGGUGGUGAACCACGGCGUGUCCAACGAGCUCAUCGCGAGGGUGAGGGAGGAGCAGGUGAGCGUGUUUCGGCGGCCGUUCGCGAAGAAGGCGACGGAGCAGCUUUUGGAUUUCGCCCCCGAUAGCUACCGGUGGGGGACGCCGACCGCCUCGUCACCUGACCAGUUGUCGUGGUCGGAGGCAUAUCAUAUUCCUCUGACGCCGUCGGCUGCGCCCGGUCCCACCGAGGGCGCAACCAGGUACCUGUUCUUGUGUCUGGAUUUUGCAUAACUCUGACGCACGCAUAUAAAAAUAUAAGUACUUUUUCAUAUAUUAGUGUACAGUAAUUUUCUGCUCUCUGCUCUGCUUACUGUCAAACUUGUUUAUUACAUACGGUAGAAACUAUUGCCUGGACCAAGUCCACAAUGUCAGCUUAAUUUGGACCACUUUGCGAUCUAGCUACUGCACAGUUUCCAAAUUUAAAGUCAUUUCACAUUAUUAUUCAACCAACAAUUUCUUCGACCAAAAAAACACGUUAUGUAUCGUUAAGAUUACUUCUUCGAUCGAGCACUAGUAAAUUAAGGGACAAUUAAUUAUGGACUAAUUAAUUAAGAAGGAAUGCAUUCUAAUACAGGCACAUAGUCGAGGAGUUUUCGACGGCGAUGUCGCGAUUAGCGCAUAAGCUCGCAGGUAUACUCGCGGAGGGAUUAGGGGAGGGGGAUCAGGGAUACAUAAAGGAGAAGUGCACGUGUAAUACGUGCUACUUACGGUUAAACCGAUAUCCACCAUGCCCGAUUCGUUGUGGGGCAUUUGGGUUAACCCCUCACACUGAUAGUGACUUUCUCACCAUCUUACACCAGGAUCAUGUUGGUGGGCUACAGCUUAUGCAGGGGAAGAGGUGGCUCACUGUUAAACCUAAUCCCCAUGCACUCAUCAUCAACAUUGGUGACCUGUUCCAGGUACUUAAUUAAUUAUAUAUAUAUGGUCUCAAAUAUAUAUGCAUGUUUAAUUAGUUAGUUAUCUCUUGUGAUCAUUAUGUGGUAACAUUUAAGAUGUUCUUUUUUUUUUUUGUCUGAAUCUAUAAAUAUAUAUGUAUGUAUAUAUGCAGGCAUGGAGUAAUAACAUGUACAAAAGUGUGGAGCACAGAGUGAUGUCCAACGCAAAGCUGGAGAGGUUCUCAGUGGCCUAUUUCUUGUGCCCCUCUUAUGACACUGUGAUACAGAGUUAUGCAGAGCCUGCUAUUUACAGGAAAUUUAGCUUUGGGGAAUAUAGAGAGCAAAUCAAAGAAGAUGUGCGAUUAAUGGGGCGUAAAAUCGGGCUUACAAGGUUCCUUGCUGUUCAAAGCUUGUGAUAGUAAUGAAAAAUUUAGAUAAAGCAAUUGCUUAAAAUGCAUGUGUUCCACCAUUUAACACCAUUUGUAUAUGCCGCGCGCUUGAUUAUUUUGGUGUUCAAAGUGAUUUAAAAUUGUGGGCAAAAUUCAACAAAAUCCGAGUCUACAAUAGUUGUUUGAAACAAUUAUAAGAUUUAUAUGGCUUAUUCUAACUUUCUAUCAGUUUCGAUGUUAAUACGUAUAUAAUUCUUAAACGAAACGGGUAUCAUGCUAUGCUACGUACUUUUUCUCAAAAAAAAUAUUUAGAGGCCACAUAUUGAUCGGGAUGGGCCUGUACUUAAAACUCGCUGUGGCAUGCGCGCGCCGUAACACUUUUUAACAUGUCUCUCUGCAUGGAUUUUGAAGCACCGACUCGCAUCUCAAAACAACUAAUGCUAAUCUUUUUUAAAAAAGAAGUAAAGUAACAUGUUACUGUUUCAUUCAAUUGGAAAAUAAAUGUAGCAAAAGAAUGAGACAACUGGGCCUUAGGAGCCAAAAUAAAAGGAUUUAUAAAUCGAUCACUAAAAUUCGAUCAAAAAAAAGCUACGUAGCACAAAAAGAGAGACAAAGGUUCCUAAACAAACAAAUGUUCAGUAACAAAAAUCAUGAUUGCCGAUGAAUUUAACGUUCUCAGGGAAAUAAGCUGUGACCUAUUUUAUUGAACAAAAAUUUAGUGGGACCAGUUUCCAACGUAAGACUGUCUUAUCUGUUAUUCGUUAGGUAAGAGACAUAAAAUUUAAAAUCUUAUAAACCGUAAUAAAGUGAUCUUAUAUUAAGGACUGCCCAUAAAAUUAAUAAUUUUUCCAUUUCAUCUAAUUUUUGUCAAUGUAUAUUUUUUUUAGACCAUCCAACAAAUUUUUCCUAAUUCGGAAAAGGAAAUACAAAGAGAGGAACAGAAUGAGAGAGAAAAAAAAUUACAAAGCAAAAACGCUCCCCAAUAUAUUAUUCAAGAGCAUUUCUCAUUUAUUAUUAUUAGUACCCCCACAGUCCCACACACGAUAAUGUGUGGCUAUUAUUUAUUUAACAAAUUGAGAUGCAUACAUACGUAUGCAUGUAGUACGUACGUCCCAUGCAUACAUAUACACCAUCUUCUCCUUCUUCUUCUUCUUUUACCACCUCUCCAUUACCACACCUCCCUCACUCUCUUAUACAUAUAUAUACUACUACCACCCUUCUCCGCGAAUACGGCAAUACUCCGGGCGCAUGCCGCACAUCGACGGUAGCCGCUCCGCCUUCCUCAUCAUCUCCUCCAUCGGCCCCCUGCAGGCGCCGCCGCCGCCUCCUCCUUCUCCUCCCUCUCCUCCCUCCCCCUCCUCCUCCAUCAUCUCCUUCAUCAUCUCCUUUACCGCCUCACACCGACACCCCUCGCUCACCGCCCUCAGCUCCCGGCAGCACUUCUCCUUCAUGCUCAUCUGGUUCGUCGUUGCCGACAUCGCCAACACGCCACGCCCGAACUUUUCUCCCCCACCGCCACUCAUGCUCUUCAUGAAAUUCUUGCACGGUUGCAUCGGGCACUGCUGCACCUCCCGUCGGCACCGCUCGGACAGGUUCUCGUCACCGUCAAACUCGUCCCUUGCGCCGUAGAAGUAGGCAUCGGUCGUGAGAGUGGAUGCGAGGAUUGCGAGAAGGGCGGCGAUGGCGGUGAGCUUAAGAGUGUUUGAGGUCGCCAUAGGUGAUGGUGUGUAUGAAGUUCUUAGGUAUGUAAUGGUAUGGGGGGAGAUGAGGAAGGUGUGGAGGGGUGUAUAUAUAUACAGAGGAGAGGUAGGGGAUGGGUUAAUUGGUGUGGAGGGUUUACCACAUGACGACUAAUUAAUGCUUUGGGUAUAACCUAUUUAAUAAUUCACAGCUCUCUUAUUGAAGAAUAUAUAUUGUUUUAACAUUAUUAAUGUGUUAACAAAUCAAUAUUAUAAAUUAUAUGAAUAAAUUAAUAAUAAUUCUCUAAUUCAUAAGGAUCAAUAUAUUAACAAUAUAUAAGGAGAAUUAUUUAUUAAACACCUCCUAUAUUUGUUGACAUAUUGCUUUACACUACAAAAGCUUAUCUAUAUAGCCUAGUUUAAAUGUCAGGAUAAGUUAUAUAUAUAUCUAGCUAAUAAUAUGUUUCACGAUAUAAAUUUUUGUUUUUGUUUUACCUGCGUUUACUAUAAUUUUA